AUUUUUAAGUUGUCUUUGCUGCUGAAUGUUAGGUUUGUGGGAGAGAUGUAGAGCUAGCUUAUCUGGAUCUCUUCAAGCUGCACAGGAAUCUUAGGAUUCCCACAGAAGAAACGCCCGUCGAUAGCGAUGACUCGGACUUAUUCUGUCACUCUAGAUGAACGGUAAAACCGUCAAGAAUGUAGAUCUAUUGUUCAUGUCCGAACAAAAACUUAAUUAUCAGAAAACGUAAAAAAAAAUUACAUAACAAUGAUGGGUUAAGUUCAUUCAGCCGCGAACAUGAUAUAGGAUUGCUACGUUUAUAAGAUUGUUCUUGCAAGUUGAACUGGAAUUGUAAGAAUGUGAGACAGCAAAAUUGACAUAUUGUACGAAGGAAUUUUCUCCACAUGAAGUUGCAGAGUGUUAGUAUAUAUUUCUAGGCUCUUGUUUCGUACUAAAUCGAUCUUUUAGAUAAUACAGUAUUUAAGCCGUUUCUAUCCCUCUCAUGUGACAUUUAAUAAAUUUAAUUAUAUAAUGGAAUAAAUUUUUAUACUCUAUUUUAUUUAUUAAUUCUUUUUUAUAUUCAUCAUGCACGUGAGUAUGAAUGUUAAUAUAUAUUUCUGGAAUUAUUUUCUACUCGAUCACUAUUUUGGGAAAUACAGGGAAUUUGAUUUCCAUGAUAAUUUAGAUUUUAUAUAGUGAGAACUAUAACAUUUGAUUUAAAGAUAUUUAUAUCUUUUGAAGAUAAAGUUUAUAAAUUGAAUUUAAGCAAACUAAAUAACAAAAUCGUGAGAAAAUAAAACUGAAAAAUAUCAAAACCCACCAGCGGCAAAAUUGGCUGGUUUGGUUUAUAUUUGAGAUACUCUGAAAGCCAUCAAAGGUUAAAAUAAAGCUUACAUAAAAUUUUGAAAAGUUACUAGUAAAACUUAAUUACCCUAUCAUUAUAAUGAAAUUGUCACUAAGUCCAAGGAAAUAAGCAUACAUCAUAUCUCCGUUUAAAAGUCUCAACUCAAAGCAUCGAUAGUUAACAAAAUUGGGUUCGAGUCUAAUACUGAUAAGAUAGGAUCACAUGCUAGUUAAACAUGUUACUAGCUAGCUAGGCCCGGUGUAAUUUUAUUCGAUAGAUCUUUUAAAUAACAUGGUAUCAGAAUUCAAAGGCAAUCCUAAUUAAGCUCCCCUCUCCAACUCUAAUUACCUAACUUGCAAUUAGUUCAAAGUGUCUAUCAAAUCUAUUAUGCACUUAAACAAGUUGUUUCCUAUCAAAUCAAUGUUUUUGGAUAAUAAUACCAAAUCUGUUCACUCAAUGCGAUAACCUUGUUAAGAGAGGGUGGACUGGAGAUACAGUCUGUGUGUUGUACAGGGCCCACGACGAGUCUGUGUACCAUCUAUUCACUCAAUGCGUCGUUAUCAAGUACAUCAUGAUGAUGGGACUCGAGGAUUUCCACGCAGAGGAACUGGGUGACGAUGUACUGGUAGUUUGGGAUAAGUGGACGGAAAAGACUGCGGUGCGCGGUAGAAGUAAUGGACUUUCUGAAUUGGUCGCAUGCUGGUGGACGAUUUGGAAGGCCAGAAAUAACCUUAUCUUUCGUAAUCAACAGCUCGACCUUGUUUUGGCCGUCCAAAGGUUCAAGAUAUUGUUAACUUCGUGGAAAGAUCUGCUUUGAGCGUUGUUUUUUUUUUUUUUUUUUUUUUUUUUUUUUUUUUUUUUUUUUUUUUUUUUUUUUUUUUUUUUUUUUUUUUUUUUUUUUUUUUUUUUUUUUUUUUUUUUUUUUUUUUUUUUUUUUUUUUUUUUUUUUUUUUUUUUUUUUUUUUUUUUUUUUUUUUUUUUUUUUUUUUUUUUUUUUUUUUUUUUUUNAAUAGCGUGCUACCUAUUCUCAAAAAAAAAAAAAAAAAACCAAAUCUGGGCCUAACAUUUCAAGGUUUUUUACAUUAGAUUCAUUAUCUCAUUUAUGAGAUUCUAGCUAGGGACCAUGGUCUUUAUUGAUUUUGGUUUGAGUUUGCAUCAUGGGACCAGCUUGAUAUCAGUUAAUUAGGCAAAAGUAAUAAACAAUACUUUAUUAAUCUAAGUUUGUAAACUUGCUUUGCCCAAGAAAGAUACUGCAAAACCAAAAGAAGAGCUUUUUUCUUAAAUGCAAAGAUGAAUUAGGUUCCAAGACCCCUACUUUAAUAAGAUGGAGCCUUAAAUUUGAAGUUCUAUAUCAAAAGUUAACAAGUGACACAUAUAAUACCAAAAAGCAUGUAAAAAAGUAGAAGCUGAGAAUUACCUAACACAUUUGGACAAUCUAUCUUAAUUUUCCUCCACAUUAAUUAGUACAUGAAAUAGAAAAAAAAAAAGAAAAGAAAAUUGGGAAGUAUCUAGUCUCCAAAAUGAUCAGGUAUUAUAAGUAUGCUUUUGGAAAAGAAAUAUUAUGUGCAUCCAUAGGCAAUCAUGCAUGCACAAGAAUCCAAUAAGCAAUGAUAUUAAGUACAUGUACAAGCUUAACAUAACUUCUUUAAUUAACUACUAAUUAAGGUUUAUAUAAUAUCUAAUAAGCAUUAUCUAAACUGAUUUGUUCUUAUCCCAAGGAAUAAAACUAAAAGUGUUUGAUCCUUUUGGUUGAGCGGGGGAAUGUAUUAAUUACUAGUUUAAAUAAAUCACAAGCAUAUCAAAAGAUUUCGCAGCUAAAAAAAAAAAGCAUCAAACUAUUGAUGCAAGUUAUAGUUUAUCUCCAUUGCAUAUAUACUCGAUCAUCUGAUUGAAGUACAUAUUUAAUUAGCUAGUUUUCGUUGCAUGUUAGGCAACUGUUAAAGAACGUGUUCUCACUGAGUGUUGGAAAAUUUUAAGGGUUAAUAUAUAAUAUUAUUCAUCUUACAAAAACAACCGAAUACGACCCAACUCAAUAUCGAUAAUUUUGUAAGUUUCUUAAUUAAUUGUUUUAAAAAUAACAAAUUAAUCAUCUUAAAAUUCACAAAAAAUGCUGGUAAAACAAAACAAAAAUUUUAAGAAAAGUACGAUGUGCGAUUCUCGUGUUACCUUAAACGAUUGCGUCGUCAUGACAGUUUCUCUCUUUGCUAAACGCAAGGGGUUAAUGCUUAACAUUUCUCCUCAGUUAGGUACAAUUAGUUCGCCAAGGAGCUGCCACUCCGAGGCAGGAGCUUCAGCCCCCUCAUCAUUUAUGUUAAUCUUGAAAAAGAUACGUGUCGAACGCGUGGAACCGAUUGAUAGAAUAGGUGUCGAACGCGUGGAACCGAUUGAUAGAAUAGAUCUUGAACUGCGAGGUCAUGAGACUCGAUCAAAAUUGCUUCUGAUGGUGUCAUACACUUAAUGCAAUCUACUUCGAUCCCACCAAUCUUAUAGCUUAAAAAUAUGUUUAAAAUGAUACAAACCCCAUCAAAAAAGGGAAAUGAUAAAAUAGAUUCGGUGUGUUUCCCGUAAAUUCCAAAUGCUAACUAAGUUGAUACUUGUAACAAGAAAAGAUUGUUCAAGUUUUUUUUUUUUUUUUUUUUUUUUUUUUUUUUUUCCCUUUGCAAACUAAAUUCUCAACCAACCACAACUUGUUCUCAAUGUUGGACUUCAAUUAUGAGCCAAAAAAACAUGAUUGAUUGUCCUCAAACGCGGGGCAAAAUUAAGCUACUCAUCACCUGAUGAAGAGUCAUACAGAGUUUCUUAAUGAAAUAAACAAAACGGAUAGCGUGCUACUUAUCUCUCAAAGAAAAAAAAAAAAAGAGUCAUACAGAGUUUAGAAAAAAUUCUUCCUAAGGUGGUGCAGUGCUAUAUUUUUCACUAAAUCAGUUUAAAUAAUUUAGUUAUAUAUUAAUUCUUUAUAAAGAAAAGUACAAUCAGGACCCAACCCCUCAAAAAUUGAAUUUUCUAAAUUAGUGAACUAAAGCUGUAUUAAUGGGGUAAAGGGGAACUAUGAAAACACAGUUGGAUUGUACUUUGUGUGUCCCUAUCAAAAAUAAAUGUCACCAAUUUGGACGUUUGGAUACCUUGUGGAAACUUUAUUUGUUAUAUAUAUAUAUAUAUAUAUCUAUAGAGUUCGGCUAUGAUGCUUGUAAAAACACGAAACACUUGGUACUUGUAAAUUUUUUACCAUUAAAUUUAUGCCUUUGAUUAUUUUCAACCGUUAGAUUAUACUAUUCAACCCACCACCCACUCAACCCUAGGGGGUUCACGUCAUCCUAACCGCACAUUGCUUAAUCCAAUUGCUAAAAAUCUACAAACACCAACAACUUGGUACUUUUAAAAGCAUAGGAGCUCAAUUCUAUAUAUAUAUAUAUACAUAUAUGUAUAUGUAUAUAUAUAUGUAUAUAUAUACAUAUAUGUAUAUGUAUAUAUAUAUGUAUAUAUAUACAUAUAUAUGUAUAUACAUAUAUNGUAUAUACAUGUAUACAUGUAUACAUGUAUAUACAUGUAUACAUGUAUACAUAUAUAUAUAUAUAUAUAUGCUAGUGCCCAAUAUUGCAAAGCUGGAGAAAGAAAAGAAAUUGGUCAAAGCUGUGUGAAAUAUGUCAAGGGUUGGUGGUUGGUACUCGAGACCAAAGUUCGAAUCCUAGUUGAUUCACAUUUUUAGCUAAAUUUAUUUCUAAAUGAAAUAAACGAAACGGGUAACGUACUAUCUAUCUCUCAAAAAAAAGAAAUAUGUCCAUUUAGCUAGCUUAGUACUUGUGUGUUUGUGUUCAUCAUGUAUGAAACAUGGGAACAAAAAUACAUUAUCCGAUGAAAUUUAAGUAGGUAAUCUUAUGUGGUGUAAUCUUACUUUUUUGGUAAGGCCAUUUCAAUUAAUUAUUUUUCUCCAAGAAUAGCUAGUUGAAUAUCUAUAGAUGCAUCCUAAAUAAUGCUGAUAGAAAAAUCACUAUACUAGAAAACAUUGUCAAAGGAUUCUUCUUUUAAAACCUUACCAAUUUUGAUUGCUAAAUAUCCAGCUAGAUUUGAACAAGUGGCAUGUUCAGAACUCGAUAAGGGUUUAAAUGAUAACAUGCGUCUUAUGAUAAAAAAGGCUGGAAAACCAACAAAGUAGUGUGUCCACAUCUAGAUCAUCAAUCAAAAGACUAAAAGCUCUAUAAAGACAAAAUGGCGUUGAUUAAAGAGUUCUUUACUAAAACUACUGCUACCGAAAGCAGAAGCAAAACCGCACAGAAUAUAUAAUAGAGUAAUUUUAAUGAUUCAAUUGAAAAACUCUGCGCAUAAGACCACAUGUACAUGCAGAUGAAAUGGUUCGUACGUGCAGGGGUCCCAAACCCGGAAUACCACAUCCAUCCAUCAGCGACGUUCUCAUCUCUUUGAUCACUCUACACACUACACAAGUGAGAGAGAGAUUGGGGGAACACAUAUGUGGGUACCCAUAGCACUGUAGCACGUACUAUAGCACGUACUAUUCCCUAAUGAUCCAUACUUAUACAUACACACACACACACACACCGAAUCACUAAUCAACACGCCAACCAUGCAUGCAUGAACACGAGCCCAUCACACGACAACAAAAAAAAAAAAAGUGUCGGAAAAAGGUCCUUAACUAAAAUUAGCGUGGACAAUUAAAGUACAAAUAUCUAUAUAUCUAUAUCAGAUCUAAGGACAAUAUAUGCAGACGUGGAGGAGGAGGAGGAGAUAUGUAGUGAGGAGGAGGGGUUCGGAGAAGAGAUCUAGGAGAGGAAAAAUUCUAUAUAUUUCAUAUAUAAUGUGCGAUAUGUAAUUAAUUAAUGUACGAAGAGCGAAGAGGACGGUACGAGUGAAGAGGAAUUGGCAUUUUACAAAUGAAUGUUUGUUGUAUUUAGCAAUUUUGUGGCAUUCGAUUAAAUAAGCACAGGAGAGAGGGUCUGCGUGCUAGUUAGAGGAUGGACCACCGAUUUUUUUUUUCUUUUUUUUCAUUUUUUUGAGAGAUAGGUAGCACGCUACCCACUUCGUUUAUUUUAUUUAAAAAUAAACUUAAUUGAAAAUGUUAAUUGACUAAGAUUCAAAUUUGGAACCUUGGAUAUCAACCACCAAACUCUUUGCCAUUUGCUUCAUUGGCAGAUACUUUCGUACGUGAGCCCAGAUUUUCAGGAGUUGAAAUCUCGUCCACUUUAGCUGGUCUGCAAAUUAAGUAUCUUCAAAAGCUAACUAUUCAUUUUCUCUCUGAAAAAUAGAUAAGUCAUGCUUCCGAAUAAAUGGAGACAUAAUAUAUAUGACUCUAGAAAUGAUCUGCUAUUGAGGCAUCAAUGUUAGUUAUAAGAUAACCCGUCUAGAGAGUAUUUUGGUCUUCGCAGGAUGCUUAAGUAUAGACUUUUCAAAUAUCUGCAACAAUAAUUGGAAUUCAAAUUAUAUCCACAUUGCACGAAACUUAAUUUUGAAUCGAAUUUAAUGUUUCUUAAUUUUGAAUCAAAGUUUUACGGUAUUUAAAUUCAAUAUUUUUAUUUUAGUUGGAUACUUAACGAAUGAGGCAUUAUCUAAUUUGGUAAAUAAUAAAAUUAAACCAAGAACUUAAAAUUUGUGGGUCGCAAAACAAAUUUGGUAUGUGAUACUAAUUCUUUGCCAAUAUUGCCUUAUUGACUAAUCUAAGUCAGUAAACUGUUCAGUAAAUUAUUUUUAUGAAAAAUCUAAUCACCAAUAAUUUCACUAGUCUCAAUUACCUGAAAAUUAUUCGCCAAUUAUGCGCAAUUUGUUGCACAUUUAGUUAUAAAGAUCUCAAUGCUGGAGAAGUCGGGAGCACAAACUCUUUUUUAAUUAAAGUGCGCAAAAGCAUUAAUUACUACAAGCUCUUCUUCCGAGAAGUAAUUAGAAAUUUUAAAAAAAAUCUGCGGAUGAUAAUCUUUUACUUCUUUGCCCGAAGCAUGUUAGCUUGUUUGUGUAAUUAACAUCGCACAAUUAAUUUUAAAAUUAUUUUACAAAAACAAUUAGAACUAAAUAGAUGUCUCAAUCAUCUUGAUUUAUAUAUAUAUAUAUAUAUAUAUAUAUAUAUUAAUGUUGUACUCUAAUAUUUGUUUUUCCUAACCGUUCAAAUACUUUAAUCUAAUAAAAGCAAUGAUGAAACGCUUGAAAGGGAUGCUGAAAAGCUUCCUAUAACCAUUCCAAAGUGAAGAAAACUACAUAGAAAAUAGAAUUGCAUCACUAGAUAAUGAAUUGCCGUAAAUGAAUUUGCUUAUUAAAAAGGGUUUAUAAUAAUACUCACACCGACACACCCACAUGCAAAUCCAGUAGUUUUUACUAGCACACUAUACACAAGUAGGGAUGUGAAAGGGUACGAAUAUUUGAAAUUUUAUUAGAACUCAAAUUCGAACAUAACAGAUUUAUUCGAUACUAAAUGAAUAUAGUUUCGAAUAUAGUAUAAAAAAUAAAAAUCCAAUAAAUUUGGAUUCGGAUAUGAAUUUUGCCUGUACCCGAACCCGAACUCGAAUUUAUUUUACUCUUUGAUGUUAUAUUUGAAUUUGUAUUUAAAAAAAUUAGAUUUAAUAUUAUAUUUUGAAAUAUGAUAAAGAGAAAUAAUUGUUUCAGAUUCGGAUUUCGAAUAUUUGGUUGGUUCAGGUUUGAAUAUGAACUUUUAAAGUCUGUCGAAUUCGAGUUCACAUUUAGAUGAAUAACUGGAUUUAGGUUGGGAUUUUGAAAAUUCGCCCCGAAUUCCAUCUAUUGACAUCACUAUCCACGAGAAGGGUAAUUCAACCAAGUACUUUAAAUGUCUAACUUUUACAUAAUGGUGGUAAGGUUGGUGACUUAGAUGUUGAUUGAUUAAUCACUAUCGAAGUAAGUAUGCAUCUCUUUCAAUGCUUCAGUAGACAACAUUCUGGAAAGCAAAUUGAUAUAUUAAUUAACAUCAAUGAACUACGAUAAGAUUCAAAACUUAUGGAAUUUAAUAUUAAUUAAUCAAUUGAAACGUGUCACGUACCAUUCGGUUAAUUAAAGUGUACAUUAAGGCCGUGUUUGGAUGCAUAGUUAAAAAACUCUAUGGCAUUUUUAUUCUAUAGUUUUGAUCUAAAUAAAAUACGAAAUCCUGUAACUACAAAAAAAUUCCACAGCUUCAUUUUUAAGCCGUUUGGAUACAGAUCAUACAAUUCCAUAGUAUUUAUAAUAAUUAAAUUUCUAAAAUUUUAAAAUUCAAAAUUCAAAAUUCAAAAUUCAAAAUUUAAAAAUAAAAUUUUAAAAAAUAAAAUUCAAAAUUCAAAAUAUAAAAUUUAAAUUUAAAAUUUAAAAUUAAAAAAUUAAAUUAGAUUUUAUGUUUUAAAUUUGAAAUUUGAAAUUUGGAAUUUGAAUUUAAAAUUUGAAAUUUGAAACUUUAAAUUUUAAAAUUUAAAGUAUAACAUUUAAACUUUAAAAUUUGAAAUUUAAAAAAUCUAUAAUUAAAAUUUUAAAUUUUAAAUUUAAUAAUUUAUAAAUUUACAUAUUUAUAAAUUUAAAAUUUAAAAUUUAAGUUUAAAUUUAAAUUUUGAAAAUUGAAAAUUAAAAAUUAAAAAUUAAAUUAAAAUUUGAAAUUUGAAAUUUGAAAUUUGAACUUUUUGAAAUUUGAAAUUUGAAAUUUGAAAUUUGAAAGUUGAAAUUUGAAAGUUGAAAUUUGAAAUUUGAAAUUUGAAAUUUGAAAUUUGAACUUUUUGAAAUUUGAAAUUUGAAAUUUAAAAUUUAAAAUCAAAAUUAAAAUUGAAUUUUAAAAUUUUAAAUUUUGAAAUUUAAAAUUUUAUGUUGAAAUUUAAAAUUUAGAAAUUGAUAUAUCUUUCGGAACCCAAAAUGGUAAAAUUUUUUCUUUUGGUUAAAGUGGAUUGUAAGUUUACUCUAUUUUUUGGAGUAUAGUAUAACUAUACUCCAAAAAUUACAUUUUUUUUUUUCUUCCAAACGCUUAAUAGGAUUAUUUUCCUACCGGCGUAGUAUAGUUUAACUAUGCUACGUUUUUAGAGGUAUCCAAACGGGGCCUAAUGUUAGGUUAUUAUAUAGUAAACAUCUUGGCACUUCUCCCUUAGCAUUCCAUUAUCAGUUCAUCUCUUAUUAAGGGAAUUGUGCUUUCUAUAUAUUUAGCUUACUGCUUAUAUAUUUAGCUUACUUCUUAUGUAUAUAAUAUGAUUUUUUUUUUUUUUUUAAGACGCAGUAUUAAUUAUAUCAUCAUGCAAUUCUUGUAAAAGCUCACAGUAUUAUUUUAUCAAAUAAACAAAUAUACUGAAUUCGUUAGUCAUAUAAAAUAACUUGUCAAAAAGAAUAUUACACUACCGAGUUUGAGUUAAAACAUUUUUAAAAAAUAUGAUUUGUAUUUUAUGAAUUUUCAGCAUCAUAUACUAGAUAUUUAAAAAGCCUUAAAAAUAAAAAUCUUUAUCCAAUAAUAGAGAAAAUUUUAAAUAUCAUGCAUGUGGUUUCGCACUUUUUUAUUUUAGUAUCCUAUGGUUUAAAACGUAUCAAUUUAGUAUCCCGUGGUUUCAUUUUUUUCUUUUUUUUUUAUUUUUUCUUCACUAAAUUUUUUUUUUAUUAAAUCAGUGACAAAGUUAAAACUAAAAGGUACUAAAGUGAAUAUAUGAUAAAUCUAGAUGGAAUAUCUGAAAUUUUUUAUAUAUAAUUUAACAAAAUGUUAAAAGAGGAGCGACGAAAAGAAAAAAAAAAACCCACAAAAUACUAAAUUGAUACAUUUAAACCGAAGAACACUAAAGUGAAAAAGUACGAAACCACAGUGAUGGAAUUUGAAGUUUAUCUAAAAAAUUAGGAGAAUUUGAAAAAUUACUCAGCCUUCGUUUGGGAUUACGGAGAGAUUGCAUUACGUGUGAUGAGAAAAUAUUACACCCCAUAUUUCGCGAUGAGUCGGUAGACAAUAUAUUGUCUACAAUUUCACGAGAGAACGCAGAAGCAUAUCAAUCUCAAUACGGAACUAAGCCUAAAUAAGUGUGGAUGGUGGGAAACAAUUUUGUACCAUCUAACUAACCUGGUCUAUAAUAAAUUAACAAACUAAAAAUUAUCAUUCUCGGCCUUCUCGGCAAGAGAGCAAUAAAUUAAUGAAUGAAUUAACUACCCCUCCAUCCCCAACCCAACAACAACCGUACGGAGGUUCUUAGUUUUCCACUCCCGAGGGUCGGAAGCGGCGGUUCCCAGUUGCAGCUCCUGUGCGCGUACCCCCACCAAAUUAAGCUGCGGGGAACACGCGUCGCGCAUCCGCGUUGAGCGCCCCAGAACCCCGCUUGCGUGGGGAUGCGCGCGCGGAGAUGGGGAGGGGGGGGAGAGGAUGGGGCUCAGAGAGAGAGAGAGAGAGAGAGAGAGAGGGGAGGGUCCUCUCCGUCUCGCGCUGUGGUGUGGCCUGUGGGGAUGCGCGUCGCAGUUACCGAGGCGUGGGGAGAGUGUGUAUGUGUUUUUUUUUUUAUUUAAAAAAAUUUCUCUCGUUGGUCGCCUCGAGCCCUGGGGCGGUGGUGGGUGGGGAGGGGGGACCGGGGGCAUCGCGCUGGGCAGAAAGAGCGCCGCUCGUACCUUUUGCUGCGACACUUUUAUCAUAUCAUAUGCAAAAACCUGCAGCGUGUCAUCAUAUUUACGUUUUUGAGACUCGAGAACCUCUCGCCUGCAUGCGGUGUAUAACGCACUCGUGACUAGUAAAAUCAACCGGCUGUUUUUUUUUUUUUUCAUAAAUUAUCUCAUUAAUUUUAUAAUUAUAAUUUUGAUUUUAUUUUCGCUACGCAAGCACCACGUCAGCGCCACGCGAGUAGGAUGGGAGUUGAGUGGUAAGUUAAAAUACGGUAAACCAUUCACCGUGAUUUAAUGGUUCACGCUCAAGUAAUAUAAUAUAUUAGACACUGUAAAUUAUUUACCAUGUCUAGAUAUGUUGAAUGAAUUAUUAUAUUCAACUUAUCCCACACCCUCCACUCCUACCGCAUGGCACUUAUAUGAUACCUGUAUGGCGUGAAUAAAGUAAAAAUUAUAAUUAUAAAAUUAGUGGAACUAUUUGUGAAAAUAUUUUUUUUGAGGUGGCCAAAUACAAAAAAACAACCCAAAAUCAAUGGAUCGAUUCAAAAUUAAGGAAUAAUUGCCUAUAAUAUACCUUUCCAAAUCUUUGAAAAAGAAAUAAUGGACUAUAUAACUUUUAAAAUUUUUAAAAUAUUUGCAGUAUAUUUUUCUAUUAUUUAAAAAAUAUUUCUACUGCUAGUGUCCGUUAAUUCAUCUCGGAUUAAAUCUAAAUUAAAUUUCUAUUAUAGUUAAAAAUAGUAAAAAUACCUAUUUUGCCCCUAAUUAAUGGCAAAUAAAAAAAAAAGCUAGUUAUGGUAAAAAAAAAAAAAUAUUUGAAAAAAGGCAAAAAGCAAAGUAUUUCUUCUUCUCCUAACUUAUGCGCAAAUAAGAAAAAUCGGUGAGGGUAAAAAAAUAUAUUUGAAAGGGUAAAAUACAAAUUUUACAGAAAUAACAACUGUUCUUAAUAGUUUUCUAACAAAAUUUAACUGUAGGAGUAUAUUUGAAAGAACUUGAAACUUUAAAAGAAUAUUUUUAAUAUUAGCCUCCUCCUAAGAAAAAUAAAUACGAAAGCCGAAAACUUGUUAGAAAUAUAUAAGCAAUUGCCGCUAAAAUUAAAAUUUAAUUUUAGAGGCAUGAAUAAUUUACAACACCUACAAUAUCACUUUACCUUAAUAAGUUGUACGGUAAAGAUUUAAAAAUUUUGAACGAAAAUACAGAGAAUGUUCGAAAUAUUAUAAAUCUCGAAACAAACAGCCCUUUCAGUGAAUUACAUUUUUCUAUUUUAUAAUUCUGGUGUAUGAGAUGUGCUUGUACACCCGGUGCACGCGACAAACUGUAUAGGAGAUGGGCGAGCGAUUAAUUCACAUGCAGAUUCAGGGUGGGCAGGAGGCACGCGUUUCACGGCCUCGAUCGCGAGCCAGCUCGGCGCUGCGCUCCGCGUUUUCCACGAUCCGACGCGCGAUAGGCGCGCUUCCCGAGAUAAACAAAACUAUCCCUGAACCAUGCGUAUCCCUACGUCUCGUAGACCGCUCUCACUUUCGCCCUGUUUGGAUAUCGUAAGGUAAUAAUGCAUUUGUAACUUGGUAUGAAAAUUUUCUUUAGACUGAUACUCUCGUUAGAACAGUUGAUCAAUCUGUCUUUUGAGCGUUGGACGAUCCCGAUACAUUUUUCAGACAUAUACGAUAAGGUUGUUACAAAGCAAGCUUUUAUUAAGGAUCGAGUGUUUCUCGCCUAAUGGAUGGAGACGGCGAAAAAUUUGGAGAGGAGUUGGAACAUGGGCUCGGAAUGGCCGUGUGAGACUUAGGGAAUUAAAGGAUUUGCUUGCUUCCUUUCAGACGACAAAUAAAUCUGAUGAAGUUCGGUGGAGAUGAAAUGCAGGAAAUAUAUUUUCUGUUAAAUCGGUUUAUUUGGUGACUCGAAGGGAAGGCAUCCGAGAUACUAGAUUGAUUCACAUUUGGAAACUUAAAAUAUCUAUAAAGUAAAAAUUUUCUUAUGACUAUCGCUUAAGAAGAAAAUCCCCACGGCUGAUAAUUUUCUGAAAACGGGAUGGUUGGGUAAUCCUCUUUGUGUCCUUUGUGGUGAAGUUACGAAGACAAUGGACCACCUCCUUAUAGGAUGUGUGUACACUAGGUUUAUACUUUUUCGAACCUUAGAGGACAGUCAGUGUUUACAGAUAGUGGAAGAUGUACUGACGAUCUAGAGUAAAAUGAUCAUAAAUAUUAGGUCGGGGGAGAUUCUGUAGGAUCUGAUUACCGUAGUAGCGUGCUGGUAGCUAGUCUGGAAGGAAAGAAAUAACGCAAUUUUUAAAAAUCACUUUGCUGAUCCUCUCUUCGUAGUCGGGCGCAUUGAGGAGUUGGUAAGAGAGUGGAGAGACUUUUGUUGAGCUGAUUAACCUGUCGAUUAUUUUUGUUGUUAAUUUUCUUUUUUUCUUUCUUUAAGCUAUAUUUUCCUUCUCGAGAUCGUGUUGUCUUACUAUUUGUAGCCAAAUUCAUUUUUGAAAUGAAUGAAGCAGAUAACGUGCUACCUAUUUCCCAAAAAAAAAAAAAUUCUGUUCAACAAUAAUAGACCAAAAGGACUAAUAAGUUGAAUAGGACUACACUUUUUUUUGUUAAUCAAACGAUGUGCUCGUGCAUCCAAACAGAAGCAUAAUAACAAUCUUUUAAUUCAAUAAAUAUAAUUUACGAUCUAAAUAAUAUAUAUAUAUAUAUAUAUUAUCAAGCACAAUCUGUUAACGUAUUUUAGGUCGCCUGCUAAGAGGUCACUAAUUAUUAAAUUUUAAGUGUGAAUCCACUACGACUGAGUUUUCUUUUCGGUAUAUAAAGUAUCUUGCACCCGGUGUAUGCAGAGAUUUGGGCCAGUAGGUUGGUUCAUUUGGGACCACCCACAGUAACUGGGCCUAAAUGUUUUAGAUCUUCAAAGCUUGNAAAAUUCUUUAUACUAUAUAAAACAAGAUCAAUAUCUUUGAUUUAAAAUUUUAAUGUCAUAUUAUUACAUUUUGUAAGAUUUUUAUUUUCAGCCGUUGAUUUUGAGCCCCUUCGUUCACUAGGCAAAUGAUAUCGUAAAAUCAUAAAAUUUAUUUUCUAUCUACUUCAAAUACUCUAGAUCAAGUUUAAUGGAGCCGAUCGACGAUUCGAAAGUCGCAACAUCGAAAACGAGCUGGAAGCACGGAAGACUCCGUGCUUCCGAUAGCAUAGUAGCCUCACUCUAUAUAUAUAUAUAUAUAUAUUAUCAAGCACAAUCUGUUAACGUAUUUUAGGUCGCCUACUAAGAGGUCACUAAUUAUUAAAUUUUAAGUGUGAAUCCACUACGGCUGAGUUUUCUUUUCGGUAUAUAAAGUAUCUUGCACCCGGUGUAUGCAGAGAUUUGGGCCAGUAGGUUGGUUCAUUUGGGACCACCCACAGUAACUGGGCCUAAAUGUUUUAGAUCUUCAAAGCUUGGACACUGUCAAACACUUUAUCACUAAAAUAUUUUGUUUUCGUUUAAAAUGUAGUAAAAAUUGCACAUAUUUUUCAUAAAGAGCACGAGAGGAGAAUUAGGAAAUUCUUUUUUUUUUUUUAACCUUUUUCGGUUUUGAAGGAAUGAAUUAAGACAUUUUUUUAGGCACGAGUAAUUAUUCGGCUAGGAAGUAGUAACUUUAAUGUUACAGCAAAUGAUUUUUUUAUUUUUUUUUCUCAUUAGAUUACAAUACCUAAUUUUCUUGAUAUUUCAUUAUCUAUAUAUCCUGUAUCACUGGAAAUGUCAAGAGCCUUAACUUAUGCAUACUGUUGAUGCUUUUAAGCUGAUGUAACAGUACUAACAGCAAAUAAUUUCCAUCAGUUACAUGCAUAAAAAGAGUAAAAUUAUCUCAAGAUAUUCUAUUAGUAAGAACCAAACUGUUUGUGCAUUAACUGUGCGUAUAACACCAAUCAAAAAAAAAAAAAGGUUUCAAUUCAAUCUAAAGAAGUUACCAAGAGAGUAGCUCCUCUACACGUACAUAACAAGAGCAGAAAAUAGUUUAAGCAAGAUCAUAUAUAUUUGCUUUACAAGCUGUUGCAACUCCUCUAUAGUAGUUUAAGCCUCAUUUGAAGCAAAAUAACUCCUCGAAAACAUCUCAAUAUGGAGCAAUUAUAACUCGCAUGCUUCAACUCGCAGUACUAGCCCAGUCGAAAUCCGUUUGGUUAGCUAGUUUAACUUGUUUUUUCUUGUUUUUCCUAUAUGUAAUUCUUUUCCGUUUCUUGUAUCAGUUUUAAGGUAUGUAACUCGUUUAGUUCCUCAAACUUACUCCGCAACUCACUAUUAUCAUCAUCAUCAUCAUCCCACCCAGGAAUGUUAGCAGUAGCCUCGUUCACCAUCUUUACCAAUGUUACCUGCAUCAGUGGCAUCAGAUAAAAAGGUUGGUGGUAGGUUCUUCGAACCGAAAAUUCUAAUUUUGAUAUGCAGAAUCGAAAAUAUCUGCGGUUGUUACGUAAACUGCCGAUUGUUUGCCAUAGCGAAGUAGAUCGCAUAUGCUUAAUGUGUAGAGUUGUUCUAAUAAGCAUUUAGUAGUUUAAAUUUUGGAUGCGAACAUACCACACUUUCAGGAACUCCUGGAGGUGGUAAUGAAAGGUUCCUUGGUAGCGGGCCUUUAAGAUACGAUCUUUUGUCGAAGCGCCAUUCCCCGAUUUUUCCAUAAGUUAGCUCACCCUGAUUUUGCUCAAAAUCAAUGUACCAAAUAUAACACAUCAACAAAAGAAUCUCACAGUAAGUUCAUUAGCUUGUGUAGGGUUGCUAAUUGCGAACAUCAAAACAAAAAAUUAACAAAAUUAUAUAUUUGCUGAAGUAAGAAAGUAGAAACCUUCAGUGAAUAGUCACAACCAUAAGUAUAGUGAAUAAUAAAUGUCUCCCCUACUGAUAAGUCCCAAGGAGGCUGCAAUAAUCGACAUAUUCACAGCAAUUAAGCGAUAAAUUAAAUAAAGAUUAGCUUAAACUUACAGUUAAUUAAUACCUGUAUCAUAAAAUCUUUGUAGAGAAUAUGGUGGACACCAUGCAAUGCACUGGCAACAGCGUAGGCAUACCUGCGGUCUUAGCAGAAAUUCAAAGGCACAAAUUUGACAAGGAACUUGUAAGUUUGUAGCUAUGUACAGCUACAGAAAAAAAAGGGGGUAAAAGAACAUAUCGAACUAGCAUAGACCAUCUAGCAGCGUUUCUAGUUUAUUUGAUUUGAUUUGAUUGAUUUCAUGACUCUUCAAAACAGGCGGUAGUUCACGAAUUAGUUCGGUUCGUACGUUUUAACCAAAAAAUAUGAGAAAGAAAAGGCUCUCACAUUUCUAAAACCCAUCCGAAAGCUUUGUCGGUCUUAUUAUCCAUUUUCAUUUCCAGUGACAUGUUCAUCCAAGUAGGAGCAAUCUUCGUCAGCGCGGACUGCAGCAACAAGUUACAGAUAGAAUCGAAAAAAAGACAUUUUUAUAGCAGAUUUUUAUUGUAACCUAACAAGCAAAUCCAGUAAGAACCACCUUUUUGAUUAUUACAGGAGAAUUUCCGAUAGGAUCGAUGUUCGUGACAGGGCCUUUUUCUUCUGGAUAGUACUUCCUUAGUAUCUUUUCUUGUUUCGCCGGUCUUAUGUAGAAGAAUGGAUACGCGACAGGUCGAUCUUCGCGAACCAAGUUCGGCAAAGGCUUCACAAAUAUGUGAUCUGGUUCUGCCAUUAGUAUGUACCUGUAAUUGUUGUCUUGAUCAGGCAGAAAAUCAACUUCAGAAGAGAAAAAAAAACAACUGCAUGAUACCGCGACGUAAAUCAUAAUGCACUCACUCUUCCUGAAUCUCUGCUCUUUCCAGCCAUUGUACAAAGGCCCAUGGUCUAUUAAGGACAACAUAACCCUGAUAUCACAGUUCAUGAGAAAAAUAAAACUUUAAAUUGAUCAAAUGAAAUUAUAAACAAGUGCGAAUGAAAUUCAGCGAAUAAAUUCUUGUUCUUAUCUCUAGAAAACAAGCAUAAGAACAAUUGUCUAUAUAUGAAAAACAUAUUUUCAAAAAGCGUGUUGUUUGAUAUUAGAAAAUAAGAACUUAGCGCGAAAUUUCUUUUUCUAACUUUAUUGCCGGUUUCCAUUUUUUGUUGAAAAAUUAAUAUUCUAUAUAUACAUUACAUACUAAUUAAUAAUAACAAAAAUAAGACAAAAAAAAAAAAAACAAAGACAAAAGGACGGCAAUAACAUUAGACGAGUUACAAUUCUGCAACACGGGGAAAAAAAAAAAAAAAAAAAAUCAAAGAAGGAAAAUAGUGCUCACCCUAUCGGCGCCCGGAGGGAGGGGGUUGACGACGAAGGUGGGGAUCUCCCCCAUGAGAUCGUCGGCCUCGCCGGAGUGCAGCACCCGCGUAAACCCGCCCAUCUCCUCCGCCCCCGCCCCUGCUGCCUUCGCUCGCUUGUACCUGUCAGUGAAAGUUGCAGCUUUCUAACUAACUUAACUAACUUCACAUACUUACCGUCAUCAGUUUUAACGAUUUUAGGACUACGUGUAACGUGUUAGCUAUUUAUUAUUGGUUAAAAUAUAUUCAAUUUUCUCUACCAUAAUAAUAGGUCAAGAGAUUAAUACGUAGGAUUGAGCCUAAUAAAUUAAGAAUACUGCAUUCAUAUAGAUUGAGUCAGGUCGAAAUUCAUGAGCAUUAUAGUUGAAUAGAUGCACGUUUUUUUGAAUUAAUUGAUUAACACUUACGAUCGACACCACUAUGUGGGACUAAUAUGCAUCAUUUUUGAACCAUACCAGUAAUACAUAAUCCGGCACUGCCACCUGCUGUACGGAUCCGCCAUCGCAGUCAUCGCCACGUGGAACGGCCGCUUCCCGGCGGCCGCCGCCAAUUCUCUAUCGCCCGUGAACCAAUUAAUGCGGCCGUCGUCGUCGGCGACGCUGCUCCCUUCCCUCCUCGGCGGCACGAACAACGCCGCGAAGUUGAACGCUGCGAAGAACAAUCCCAGCCCCGCCGCCGCCGCCAGGAACUGAGAUGCUCUCCCGAUCUCCUUUCGUGCGUUCAUAUCUGUUCGACGAAGAUAGUGUGCUAUUUUGUGAGUGUUAUUUUUUAUUUUUUAUUUUUUAUCUGAAUUACAAGUGAAUCCAAUUAAUGAAUGUAUUAAUAAACGUAAAGAUGUUAAUGCAAGCAAAACGUUCCUCAAACUUUUAGAACAUGGAAGCAACGGUUCACUUAAUGAGGUAGAUAUAUAGGAAUGUUUUUUUUUUUUUUUUUUUUGAGAAAUAGGUAACAUGCUAUUCGCUUCGUUUAUUUUAUUUAGAAAUAAACUUAGCUGGAAAUAUGAAAAAUUAGGAUUCGAACUUGGGCCUCGGGUACCAACCAUCAAGUCCUUUGACAUUUACUCUAGGGAUGGCCGGUAGAUAUAAAGAAAUGUUAUAAAUUUAUAAUGUGGGGUAUAUAUUACACCAACUCAAAAAGGGGAUGGAAUAGGAAUUGCACAUGGAAAGUGGAGAGCCGAGUUGGAAUGUGAAGAUUUUGGAAGACAAUAGAAUCUAAAAUUGUUUGAAUAUGAUUUUCGUGCGCUGUGGGAAGUGCUGCUUUCCUAGUGUUCAAACAACAGGAAUGGAAAAAAAAAUAAAAAUAAAAAUAUUUGCAUAUGUAUCCUCACAAAGUAAUAAAAAGGGAAAACUUCAAAUACCUCUAUUGUGGUUUCACUUUUUCUCACUUUAGUACUAUGUAGUUUAAAAUGUAUUUAGUACCCUAUGGUUUUGCACUUUUUCACUUUAGUACCAUAUGGUUUGAAGUGUAUCAAGUUAGUAUCCUGUGGUUUCGCACUUUAUCACUUUAGUACCCUGUGGUUUAAAAACAAUAGAGUACUAACUUGAUACAAAAACAAAACCACAGAGUACUAACUUGAUACACUUUAAACCACAGGGUACUAAAGUGAUAAAGUGAGAAACCACAAGGGUACUAACUUGAUACACUUUAAAUCACAGAGUACUAAAGUGAUAAAGUGAGAAACCACAGGGUACUAACUUGAUACACUUUAAANAAACUUAUGAGUACAAAGGGCUUUAUACUCAUAUGAGUAUAAUAGCCCCAGCCUAUAUUAUAUAUAUAUAUAUAUAUAUAUAGAGAGAGAGAGAGAGAGAGAGAGAGAGAGAGAAAGUAGGGCUACUAUACUCUUAUGAGUAUAGAGUCUUUCGUACUGAUAAGUUAUUUUUGAUGAUGGAGAUUUCAAAUCAAUGAUUCACUCCGUUAAAUAUGAUCUAAAGUAUUUAAAAUUUAUAAAAAAUAAAUUUUUAUAAUUUUAAAGUCCAUCAAGCGGAUAUAUAUGAACGGUAAAAAUUGAACAACGUCCUAAAAAUAGAUGAUCGGAUUCUUCAAUUUAAUAUCGGAAUUAUUGAUUUUUCUUAGAUAAUGAAUAUAAUUUUCUAUCAAAAAUUCAAUAUUUUUUUAUUUUUUUAUACAAUUAAACUAGCAAGUAUUGAAUACCGGCUGUUAAAAAUUGUUAAUUUUGAAAAUUUUUAAUCAUAAGAUAAAUGAUGUCAAAAAAUUAUAAAAUUUAAUUUCUAAAAAUUUUAAAUGUUCUAGAUAAUGCUUAACGGUAUGAAUCUUCGAUUCGGAAACACGCACACACACUCUCUCUCUCUCUCUCUCUCUAUAUAUAUAUAUAUAUAUAAAUGUAUUCCUCUUGUUAGUGGAUUAGUUAAAGGUGACUUUUCUUCUACAAAAUAAUAAUUAUAUUCUUAAAAAAUAAAAAAUUAAAUGCUAAAUGUAUUUAGCAUUACAACAUUUCAAAUGAUGAAAAUUUUAAUUGUUAACUAACAAUAGUCAACUUGGAUAAAUUUGUAUAUUUUGGAUCUUUAAAGGAUAUAUUUGAUAAUCAAACGUUAGCAGAUAUAAAUUGGCAAUUUCAAAACAUUUUAGAAAAAUAUGUACAAAAUAAUCCCAAAAAAGGGUAGCUGGAAAAGAGUGGAUCAGUGCUUUCAUUGUGGUGUUCAACGUAAGUCGUUUAGUUUUAUCGAAAACUUCCAAAACCUUGUUUAGUAUACUUUAAUAUGUGAAAAAACCUUCUUUUUUUUUUUUUUUCCCGUACCGGGGCCUGGCUGCUCCAUUCCUGUAGCUUAGUUCAUCUUUCUAAUAAAUGAAGCGGGUAUCGUACUACCUUUCCCUCAAAAAAAUAUGUGAAAAAAAACCCGACUUUAUUGGUAGGGAACAAUUAACUCUGGUUUGUUUUGGUUUUUUUUUUAAAAUUUAUUUAAGGUAAAAAUCUACCUAGAAAAGAUAAACCAAAGUGCUGCAUCGUAUAAUGAUAACGAUAAAUCAUUAGAUAAUAAAUUACAAAAUUUCACCAUAAAUUAGUUUGUAAAAUAUAACUUCAACAACCUACAAAUAGUAUUUUUUUAUAAAUGAAAUACAGAUGCAAUAAAAUAUUAUUUAUGAGUCAUAAAUAAGAUAGUAAACUGCAUGUAAAUGCAUUACGUGACUUAAAAAUAGUAAACUAUUUUUCCAAACUUUACCUUGGUUUUUAACUCCAGCUGGAUCUUGCUUCCUUCUGAUAACUGGAUUGGCGAAAUUCCGCUCAGAACUUCUUCGCCAGAUACCUUCAGCAAACCGGAAAGGAAAGUAGGAGACCUGCCGAAUGAGAUGAGAUAAGUUCGACCUUUUGCUGAAGAGUUAGGAUGGAAUGGAUAAAUUCAGGUAUGGUUACGUGGGAAGAGAAUUUCUCCAGUUUUGCUUUUCACUCCUCACACUCAUUCUCCCACUUCAUUGAUUUAGUGCCUUUCCCACAAACCGGAAAAAAAAAAAUCCAAGUUUGACUGCGUAAAUUGUCUGGAUAAUCCUCCUACUAUCCCAAUAUUACAACUCGGUCUAUGUACUCUUUCAUGCGAGCGAUUUAUUUUUUUGAGAUAUAGGUAACACGCUACCCGCUUCGUCUAUUUCAUUUAGAAAAUAAACUUAGCUGGAAAUGUGAAUCAACUAGGAUUCGAACUUGGGAUCUCAGGUACCAACCACCAAGCUCUUUACCACUUGCUCUAGGGACGGUCGGUAUGAGCGAUUUAUUAAUUAGUCUCUCGAACAGACUAUGUGUUAACAAACAGAAAAAUACCGACCGUUCCUAGAGCAAGUGGCAAAGAGCUUGGUGGUUGGUACCCGAGAUCUCAAAUUCGAAUCCUAGUUAAUUCACAUUUCUAGUUAAGUUUAUUUUUAAUGAAAUAAACGAAGCGGGUAGCGUGCUACCUAUCUCUCAAAAAAACAAACAGAAAAAUUCAAACACUAUAUAUGCCCUAAUGUUAAUUAAAAUAUAUUCAUUACUUAUUUCUUUUAGAUCGAUCUAUCAGGUAACAUGAUAUUAGAACUAAUUCUAAACCAUUUCAAUUCAAGAGAUCCUAAUUAUCAUUAAUUUCCUUUUUAUAUGUAACGUAUAACGUGAAUAUUAAGUAUAAAAGUUUGAAACAGGUUUGUAGCUAUUAGUGUAAAAAAGUAGUUUUUUUUUUUUUUAAUUUAGAGUUGUAAUCAAUGCACAUAAGUUUCAAAUUUUUAUAUUCUAACUUGAACAUCGACUACUCUAAAACAUAACAUAUUUGAAAAUACUAAUUAAUGUAUGUAAUGUUGGUUUUCCUGUCUUAAAUAUGGUGACAAUGGCCAACUGUGCACUAAAAAAAUUUAAUUAGCACACAAUCACUAGCAAUAUUCUAAUGAGUCUAUAGAAUUAAUCAUCUCUAUUAGAAAUAAAUAAAUUAUUUUCACCAUCGUUUUCAAUGCAUGGCAAAAUAAAACUAAAAAUAGUACAUGAUAAUGGAUUGUGUAGAUCAUCCGAAGAACUAGUUUGAGUAUUGAGUUUUCUCAUUUUCCCAGUGUUGAGAAAAAUUUAUUGUGGAUGGUUAGUUAUAUAUUGUGCAUUAAAAAAGGUUGAUUAGUUGGAAGUAUUGAAUUUUCUUGAGAAAAAUUUAGAAUGAUUUUUUAGGAUUUUUAGUACUCUGAUUUUUCCACUCAUCGAGAUGUACAGAUGAUUCCUUUGAAAGGAUAGUAAAAUAGGGAUUUUUCCACGCAUAAAAUAAAUCUAGAAUCCUUAGAAGUAAGCAUUAAAAUCUAAUUCUAGAAUCGUUAGAAGUAAUUUUACAAUAUCAAAAUCGUUAGUGAUCAGCGACUGAGAUUGAGCCUUCAAUAAUUAAUUUCCUAAUGUCCUCGUAAUCUCAAACAGAAAACCAAAUAGUUCUUGGUAGGUGACAACAUAAUUGAGAUAUUUUAUUGAUUAAAUAUUGAGAAACACUUGAUUCCCACUUGUUCUAACCAAUCUCCAUUUACAGACUAAGUUUGCAUCCUAUAUAUAAUUUCACAAGCAUUUCGUUUCAUCCUAAAGAAUAUAAUGCUUGCUUUUUGUAGAUCUCUCUAACAAAGAUUUCUAAACAUGCAUCUUUCACCACAAACUCUUUGCUAGUUAAGGAUGAACAGCUGCGGCCGAAGGCGAAGUCCGAGAGGUGAGGGACGGCCUCAUCUUCACGAUCUGCUCCUCGUCGACCCCCAUACGCUUCGCAGACACUCCUGCUUCGAAGAAGCGCUUGACGGCGCCCCGCAUGUAGGCGAUGCCUUCGCGGACAUUCAUCUGCUUCGCUAUCCUUUCUUGCAAGCUCGUGAGGAGGUGAUCGCCGUUGAGCACCGACGCGAGCUGCAUGAGCUCCUGCUGGAACUCGCUCAGCUUGGCUUCUUCGUUGGCCUCGCCGUCCCUGAUCUUCACAGGCAUGGGGAGUUCAACUGCAUUAAUUUGACGAUCGAGAAACCAGUUAGAAUUCGUAUCAUCAACAUGAUUGAUUAUAUUGAGUAUUUGAGUAUUGACACAGAAGAGAAACAUGUUGUUCAUGAGUUCAAGUUGUUUCAAGAAACAUGUUGCUAUUAGUGACAUUGACACAAAAAGCUCAUUCUAUAUAUAUUCUGAGAAUUUGUUAGCUAUCUGAUCACCUGGGCAAUCCGUCCUAGGUUCGGUCCGCGUCUGCAAAAUUCCCUCAAACGUUCCAGCCCAUGCAUCUCUCUUCGUCAAGUAAGGCGAUGAGAGAUUGAAAAGAUUCUUUACAGUUGCAGGAAUGGACGAAUGCUCAUACUCCGAGGUUGCGGUCGGAACACCAUUCGGACCGUGAACAACUGCAACCAGUGAAUGGUACACCGUCAACAUUCAUUGCUUUUAAUACGAAAGAAGAAGAAGAAGAAGAAGAAGAAGAGAACACGUCCUCAACUCAUCGAUUCCGACAUUACUCACCGGUUCCCUUCUCAAUCCAGGGUGAAACCAUAAUCGUCGGAACCCUCACUCCCAAUCGAUCGAACGUAAAGAAGAAAGGGUCCGGGCCAACAAUGUCGUCGGGGCUGGGAACGCCCUGGACGGGCGUAGGAACAUGAUCAAAGAACCCGCCGUGCUCGUCGUAAGUAAUAAUCAAGAGAGUCUGGUUCCACUGGGGGCUGGCACGCAGGGUCUCGUAGAUCUCCUUGAUGAACAGCUGGCCUUGGUAGACGUCGUGAGACGGGUGAUCGUCGUUGGCGGGAUGAGCCUUGGAGUCCAAGUAGUGCUGCUCGAUGACGGCGUAGUUGGGGAGAGCGCCUUUGCUCGCAUGUUCCUUGAAUUUUCCGGCGUAGGAGUAGAACUUGGUGAUGUACUUGAGCUUGCGAAGGCUACGGUAGAACAAAACGGCCGGCACGUCUUGGUAGUAUACGCCGAAAGAGAGCCCCGCGUCGUGGAUGUUGUCGAAUAUCGUCCUUUGCGGGUAGCCCUUCGCCAGUAAGCUGCGAGGAAUUCUACACUGUCACACUUGCACCACGUCAUCAAUAACAAGCUAAUCACAUUUCUUAUUUUUAAAUAAAAGUAUAAUAAAAAUAUUUUUUUACAAUCAUGAUGGGACAUAUACCCCUAAAAGGAUACUUUUGAUUGGUUUGUUACACCACGUCACCAAUAUACCAGUUGUAUUCUAGAAUUUUUCGUACGCUGCAGCAUCAUUAUAAUUAUCCUUGUCAUGUCUAUUAUUAGGCGAUCGAAUUUCUACAAUUGCAAGAUCUGUUUUUCUACCGAUGCAUUGUUACAAACAUUGUUAGCAUCACAUACGUAAUGUAAUAAUAACCAAUUAAUUUGCGUAGUAAUGCUUUAUUUUACUACAAGUGAGAAGUACUAAUAGAAAAGGUACUUAUUACUGCAUAAACCAGAGUUCAGUAAACUUAGUGAAUUUGACGAACUCCUCUAUCUACAAUUUUGACCUUUUUUUUUAAUCUUUUUAUACUUUUAUUUUAGUACAACUUUAGUCCAGUUUUAUUAGGUCUCGCACCGAAGAGCUUAAUUCGUGACGCAAAUGGUCAACACUUGGUGGCGCACCGUAGACUAAAUUAAUUGGAUUGUUGCGUUAGUACCCAAUCCUAUUGAAAUUGAAGUCCCCCGCUAUAAUCACGGAUGUCGACAUAACUACUACUUUUUGAUUAUGUUGAUAACAAUUAGGUGCGCUCCAGUGCGUUAGCUCAAUCUUAUAUAACCAUGCACAAAAGGUAAAAAAAAAAUAAAGGAAAAAAAAAAAAAAAGGAAAAGUAGCUUUUUCCGUCCACAAAUUGCGCUUGCAAUAAUUUUGCUUCUUAAAGAGCUUAAUAAUGAUGAUGAUAACGACUCACAUGGGACGCAAUCUCAUGAUAAACAGUAGCUAUCUAUAUUCCUUUCAUCAUCAACAUCGAAGUCACUGCAUAAUUAAAAAUUGGGACCCACUGAGGUUGCCCUCUGAAGAUAACAAAAUAAAAAAUUGAAAGCGCAAUCUCAGACAUUGAUAAUUUGCGCAAUCUCAGACAUUGAUAAUUUUUUCAAUUAGUAGUAUCUACUCAAUUUCUCACACUAUAGAAUUUGAAUUCAAAAAUUACUACUUAGACCGACCGUUUCUAUAUCAAGUGACAAAAAAUUUGAUAGUUGGUGUCCAAGAUCUCAAGUUCGAAUUAUGGUUAAUUCAUAUUUUCAGCUAAAUUUAUUUUUAAAUGAAAUAAACAAAGCGGAUAGCGUACUAUCUCUCUCCAACAAAAAAAAAAAAAAACAACUUAGAAAUUGUACUGUUUUAUGUAAAAAUUUGUAAAUUUGUAUAAUAAUUUGAAUCUUUUGUACUGAUGAUGAUGACUAUAAUUUUAUAUUUAAAAAUAUAAAAAAAAAGUUUAAAUCGAGUUUUUAUCUCAAAUCUCCCCCCACCGACAACAGGCGCGGUGUGUGCGUAUGUCAACAUUUUUAUUUUAUUUCAGUCCUCUCCUUAAUCUAUCUAAACCAUGUACUGACCGGGCCCUACCUCUGUCAAAUGGAGUUGGCCAGCGUGACAUACUUCCGUUCUCACAUAUCGAGAUUCACUCCCACCUCAUCAAUCAUUGCAGAUACAAACAAAUAAUAAUAAAAUGAUUACAGAUGUAAAUUUUAUUUUUUUAUCUUAAAAAAAAUAAAUCAUAUAUUUUUAUUUUUUUUUAAUGUUGAAAAAAAAGAAAUAGCUCAGUUGGAUAGAGCGAGCGGAGUACCUGGCGUCGUUGCUGGUGGCGCCGUGGGAGGUGGCGGAGUGGACGAACAAGCGGUUGGGCUGCGUGGACGAGGGGACGGAGGCGAACCAGCGGUCGAAGACGGCGAACUCCUGGACGAGGGCGGCGUAGACGGGCAGCAGGUCGGGGCGGAAGCCGUUCAUGACGGCGGCGGUCAUGUUCUCCGACAUGGAGCGCGCCUGCUGCACGAACCCGUUCAUCGGGGCCGGCGCCGCCGACGUGUCGUUGGACCCGAACACCUGGUCGCGUAUGGCCUGGAACGAGUGCCCCGGGUCCGGGUCCACGAACUGGGCCCCGUCCGCGAAGUAGACCCGCGCCGCGUCCGGGUCCGACGCCGACACCGGGUUCCACUCCGACCCGUCCACGCCGUUGAUUUCCGGGUUCCGACCCUUCAUCCACCCCAGCAUGUGGUCGAACGACCGGUUCUCCAUCACCACCACCACCACCGUGCUUAUCGGGUCCGCCCCAUUUCCCAAUCCCCCCACGCCCGUUAAUACCUCCACCCAAAACAACAACCAAAGCAGCUUCAUCAUUUAUCAAUGUCUCCUCCUCCUCCUCCUCCAUUUCCCAAUCCCCCCACGCCCGUUAAUACCUCCACCCAAAACAACAACCAAAGCAGCUUCAUCAUUUAUCAAUGUCUCCUCCUCCUCCUCCUCCUCCUCCUCCCUCCUCCUUUGGUGUGUAUGUGUGUGUGUUCAAACUACAAACUAUUCAGACAUAGCUCAACAAUCGUAGCUAUCUGUGGGCGUAAUCACUUGCCAAGCUAUGCAACUNGAGGUUGGAGUGUACCAGAAACCCGAGUAAAGAGGGUUGUGCGCGUGACCGACUCAAACCUCUGUAGCUUUUUAUCGGUGGGUUCUUUUCUUUUGUCUUUGGUGAAUGUAUCUACCUAUCUAUCUAUACAUAUAUAUAUAUAUAUAUAUAUAUAUAUACACACACACACGAAAAGGAGAGGGACAGAGGGAAUAUGUAAUUGUUAUUUUGAUUAUUGUUUAAAGAUUCGCACAAAAAAUGUGCAUGUGCUUUACUUUGCCGUGGGGGUGCUAAUUAAGUGGGAUCACAUAAAAUAUUCUAAUUUUUACAUAAUAUGGAGAGCAUCUUUAUCUAUAAAUUUAAAUUUUUUAUAUUAGCUAAUUUGAACUCUUUAAUAUAGUAUCCGGAAUUGGUUCACAUUUUUUAUAGUUGUGUACUUGUGUGGCCAAUAAUUUUUUAAAUAAUAAAAUGAAUACGGACAAGAUAUUUAUAAAUUCACAUAAAACCAAAUGGGCAAAUUUUAUUACUACUUUAAUACAUUUGAUAGGGGGACAAUCUAAUUAAAAGCACAUCUAAGAGAUUCAUUAGGUUUUCAGAGAUUGGCAAUAAAGAUAAAGAUAAAGAAUAGUAGUAGUAUAAUAGGAUUACGAGUUGCAUGGGUGAAGUUUAUUUUUUGACACGUACCACGUAAAUGAUGAGGAUGUAAGUAGAGCAUUUAAAAUCUCUGGUUGCAACUAACACCUGUGCACGGCCUAGUUAGUUGGUCUUCAAUUUACUGUUGUUUUUACUUUUAUUAAAGUAUUUUUAUACCAUACAAAUAUCUAUUAUGAACCGAAUGGAAUGUCGAUGAACUAUUCUAAAUAAUGGUGAUAAAUUAUAUUUUAAUUUAUUUAUUAUGGUUGGUUAUAGAGUGGUAAAUUAGUGUCAGUAAACUUUUUUUUUUUAUAUUUGUUUUGAUAGAGAUUGGAAAGCCAAUACUGUUAGCUAUUUAUUAUUGGGUUAAAAUAGGUAUAACAUCCUGUCCUGUGACAAUAGACUUAGGAAACUAAUUACUUGAGUUGGAUAAGCCUAAUAAGUUGAGUGGAGAUGCGGUUUACAAGAGAUCUAAUGGCAAGAAGCCUAAUAAUAGACCUAACGUCUAAAUGGGUUGAGUCAGAUCGAAGCCUGCGAGCACUGUGGCUGAGCCUUUAAGUGCGAUAGAUGCGUCCUUCCUAUCAGUAUAUACUUUUGGAAUAGUUAAUUAGUUAGCGCUUACGAUUCACAAAUACGUUUCGUUUUCGUUGGGCUUUGUCGAGUGAGUUGUGUGGGGCACCGUUUGGUGGUGCGUCCACACCACACCAUAGCCAGAUAAGCAAAUGGAACAAAAGUACUUAUGGGGAGGUUCCAAACGGGACUCUUUCGUUCACCACCAGUGUGGCUUCAAAAUUCGUGCCAAUAUGGAUGGAAUAGUUUUAUAUCAAAAGUUUUUUCAUAAAAUUUUUGUUGUAAGAUGCUCUACAUGGGCAUUUCCCUUCCCAGCAAAGCUUAGAGAUCAAGAGGAUGGAUCACUGAACGGUAGUGACAUCGCCGUAGCCUAAAAUUCAGUUCCCACUUCACUAUAGUGAGCUUAAUUUAAAUUUAAUCUAAAGUGUUAUAGAUAGGAUCAACAAAAGCCUACAUAUAAUUUCCAAUGUUAAGCCGUCUUAUUAUUAAUAAAAUAUAUUAUGUUAAAUAAUAUGAAAUAAUUAUUUGUCCCCAAGAACUAAUGCUACCGGUGAUCCAGAAAGCGAUAUUUUAAAUAUUUAUAUUCAACAUAAUAAUAGUAUUAUAUCAAACAGAUUAAUAGUAUGAACGGAAAGUUCGAAUCCUAGUUUUUUUUUUUUGAGAGAUAGGUAGCACGCUACCCGCUUCGUUUAUUUCAUUUAGAAAUAAACUUAGCUAGAAAUGUGAAUCAACUAGGAUUCGAAUUUGGAUCUCGGGUACCAACCACCAAGCCCUUUGUCACUUGCUCUAGGGACGGUCGGUAGUUCGAAUCCUAGUUGAUUCGAAGUUUCCCUAGAACAAGUGACAAAGGGCUUGUGGUUGGUACCUGAGACCCAAGUUCGAAUUCUAGUUGAUUUACAUAUCCAAUUAAGUUUAUUUCUAUAUGAAAUAGACGAAAUGGGUAGCAUGCUACCUAUAUCUCAAAAAACAUAGUAUGAACGGAAAGUAGGAGUUGUGCUAUAAAUAGACGGCAAGGACGAUGCACUGCGUCACAUCAAGUGAUAUAUUUCUGUUAUUGAUAGGCGACGUGAAAGGAAUAAUAAUGUAACAGCCAUGCUUAAAUUGGCGCCGUUGCGUGUCUUCUAACAUCUUCCAUGACAAUGACUCUCAAAAUAUCACAAAUUUUGCUUGAUUCAUGUAUACUUAGGUACUCAGCAAAAAUGACAAACCGAAGAUCAAACCUUAAGCAUUUACAUUCUCACAAAUGAAUCUUUACAAAAGUUGAAAGAAGAAAAAAGAAAUCUGCAAUCAGAACUGCGCAUGAUGCACAAAGUCGGAACACGAAGUGAAUGGAAAUUGAUGACUUGGAUCGAACAUUUACAAUAGCAUGGAUAGAUACAAAUGGUGUCUUGCUAUCGCUCUCGCACUCUUUCUCAUCUUGGGCUGUUCCACGGAGGUGAUGAUUUGUACACAAACCCUUGGGAAGGGACGGCUCCGUGACUUAAAUCGAGACUAUGGAGUUGUUCGAUCAGCUGCGAGCGCCGCUCCUUGAAGAAAUCGAGUCGCGUCGUGAGCUCCACCAGAGUAGAAGAUGCCACUAACGGCUGCCUCGGAUACCCGAUACCCUAUUAAGGAAAAACAAAAGAUAGACUCAUUUUCAUUACUGAAAUAAAAGGUACAUGAUCACAAUUAUGAUAAAUUCGGUUUGCCCACCUCACUAAUUUUAGGGUUAGUAGCAGUGACAUCAGAGAUUGAUUCCACCGAUAUACUCGCCGAUGCCUCCGUCCUUGUUGAUUCACUUGAAUCCAAAGAAUAUUUCCUCGAGAGAUGCUUUGAAGUAGCGUAAGUUGGCAUUUGCUGCUUGGUGCUCUUCCAAUCUAUUCCCGACGACCCCUCCUGUAUGUUAAGAAAAAAAUGGUUUUUGCAUCGGUAAAUCGCUGAGAUAAAGGCUUAUUGUACGCCAUAGAUUUUUCACAAUAAAUUAUUCAUGUAACCAUUUUAAUGUAUACACCACAAAAUUCAUAGUAAAGUGUAUUUCUCCAUUAGUGUAAUAAAACUAUUAAAAAUUUCAGACAGAACUUGAAACAUUGUCCGGUCAGUAUGCAACAGGUUCUAAAUAAUUCAAUUAGCUUAACGUGAUCACUUGGAGCCCAGGGGAUCACAUAAAGUGAAUUGAGUUAAAGAAUGGAGAAGCUACGGAAUGUAUGUAAAGCAGCGAAGAUGAAGUAACUACCAUGCAAAUGUGACUUACUAAGAUGUCAAGUGUACAUUUAAAAGCAAAUGAAAAGUUCAAAAUUGCUAGCUCGCAAGAGAGAAAUAGGGAAAGUACCUCAUUCCUUUGCUUCUUCUCAUGGUUGCAGAAAGCAAGGCUCAUAUCGAAGUCAUGCUGAACAGUCUUCCUGCCACAUUAGAAACCCAAAAUAGUAUAUCAACAAAAUAAUAUCCGUUAAUAAGGGUCACCGCUCACCAAAAUAAUACAAUUUCUUUACAGGAUCAAACAGGCAAUCAAUAGAAGCAGCAUGCAUAAUGAUGAAAAGAACAGUACAAACCUUAGCAUUCAGCUCCAGAAAGUAUUUUAGAUAAAAUUGGAUUUGAGAUAAUCAAAUACAGCAUCUGACCCAGCAAACAGUAUCUUAUUAAUGAAAUGUUAUUUAAGAAUAAUCAUGCAUCACGACUUCCAUCUUUUGCAAGAUUGUGGCAGUUUUGUUUUUAAAUCACUUGAUUGCUCUUCCUUAAGGAUCUAGGAUCAGAGUAGAGUAUUUGGCCUCAUUGAUUGGCACUUGGAUUCUGAUGUCACUUGUGAUAUCAUGGUGGAGCAGAACAAUGAUUGGAGGAGAGAUAAAGAUUGAAUGGAAGAUGUUCUAUCAGUUCAUGCAUGAUUGAAGAAACGUAGCAGAUUCUAUAAGAAGAAAAAAGGUUUCGUGUAAAUCUGAACACAAUACAAUAAAUUAAGUUUCACCAGUCUUACUGUUGUGAGAUUGGAGCUGGAAAAUUUUGAUAGUGACCGCUAGCAUCAACAAAAGAUCCAUAGUGAUGCUGGCGUUGUUGGUUAAGUUGGAGAUGCAGUUCCGCGACCUUCUUUUUCAACCUUGCAACAUCUGCUUCAGCUAGGGCAAUCUCCUCAAGUUCUGCCCGUGUCUUUUAGAUAUAUAAAACAAGAGGUCAUGUAUGAUGUAUCCAUUACACCAGUAAUAGAAUUCAUAGGAGCCACAAGAUACAUACCUUCGAAUCCAUAGCACGUGAGUUUGAAAACUGUUCAGAAGACAUGCUCAGCCCAACCUCUAAUGCAGCUCUAAGAUCCCUCUCAGCUUGCAACUGCUCUUGCAAUCUAGAGACCUACACAAGUAGCCAAUAGAGAGUAUUAGACGUUUUUCCAGAUAGUUCAAUCCCACAAGUGCACGCUACACCUAGUAUCUCAACAUAUUUGGCAUGUGCAAAUAAAAUUAACUUCCUGAACGGAAAAUUAGAACUUCGUUGGCACAGCUGAAGCUUCUAUAACACUAGUGCUGUAUGAAUGGAGCUAUUCAAAGAAGCAUUAAUAUUUUUCCUAUCAAAUUCUCCUUUAUACUUUCUUCUCAUGGCAAGAGCAGAAAUUUCACUUUGGAGCUUUUGCUUUUGAGACCGGUAAGCUCAAUUUAUCUUCCUAUCACAACAAAAGCUCCAAAUAAUUUAUUAGCUAGAAGCUUCAGUUUUCUGGAAAAGAGAAGUGUUCCAGAACCAGGCCAGGCAUUUAAUCUAUUGUGAUUUUCACCCACAUCAUGUACAGUUCAGUCAUCUCAUCAGUUUGGUGAACCAAGAAUAGCCAAAGGCUAAUGUGGAGGGUCACUGGUCACAUAACUAAGAGUGCAAAGCACAGCAUCUCUAAAUAUAACAAUAAAUAUUAAACUUAUCUAGUUAAUGUCUAUGUUACAGAUUAAGAAAGCAUAUGAAGCUAAAAUGCUCAAUAUGCCGAGAUAAAUAAGGACAUGACCAUCAAUGUAUAGCCAGAAAGCUAAUAGCCUAUCAAUGGUGCACAAGUAAGGGGUAAAAGAAAAAUGCAUACAUCUUGUUCUAGAGCUAAACGACGCUCAUGCAAGGCCUGUUUUCUUCUUUCCAAACUAGCUUGGAGAAUAGCAUUCCCUUUGGCCUGAGAAAAGUAAUUUCCAUCUCAUGUUAAAUGUUUCAGUUAUUUUAUCACCUUAAGAAAAGAUAAUCUCGCAAAUAAAAUAUUGUUUUAUACCUCCUUAGCAAUCCUAAUCUGGAGAUCAUUCUUUGUCAUCUCGAGCCUAUGAAUAGCAAGCCUGAAAAAGAAGUACAGUCUGAGAAACGGCAUAAAUUAAACUAUUUCAACAGUAAAUCAUUAAGUUCCAAUGAGUGCUUCACCAUCCCAAGUCGUAAGAAAAUUAAAUCCAUAAUUCAACAGUCCUUUGAAGAAAUUAGGAGGAGAGUAAAUUGUUUUUUUUCCCCCUAGGAAUUAGACUACUCCCUUGUACAAUCAUAAAAUUUGCGCGAGUUAUCAGACUUUAGAGGAAGACAAAGACAGUGAAGAUCAGAAAUCCAUAAGAUUAUCCAACAGGUUGGAUAGAAUUCAAGAUAAUGAUGCAUAUUUCAGGAAAGCACACUAAAUGAAACUCGAAAAGAACUUACUCUUCUUCACCAGAUGAAUCAACUGAUUCCAUUGGCUGGUUCUUUCUGGCCUACAAUAUUUCAAAGCAGAAUCAACACCAGAAAGCUUUAAAUUAAUUCCAAAAUUGAGUAGCAGACGACUAAUAGAGCCCAUAAUCCAGGAUUAAGAAAAAUGUAACAGAAAAUGAGAGAUUUUAUAAAUAAUAUUUCCAAAUAUAAAGAGGUUCAAAGCUCAAACACAGAAACAUGUCCGUCUAAUUCCAAGAGGAACUAAAAAGAAGAAAAAUACAACUAGAUCAAAUAAAAAGUAAACAAAUAAUCAUAAAAGGACAGUUUUAAAUUAGAAUUAAAAAAUUCACAGUUCAAAUUUACAAUGCAAAGUGAUCCUAAAGUACAUGCCGAUUGACUUACAUUGUUUCGUCCCCAGAAGUUGGUUCGCUUCACUUGUUUGUGCAAUCCAUUUUGUUUACUUGGGUGUCUGUCAACAAAUUUCUCCACUUCAUAAGAUGGGAAAGAAGUUCCAGGAUCCAUAUUAGACAGGAUCUCUCCCAUCGACUGCGGAGUCUCACGGAUCGGUAACCGACUAGGUGUGCCUUUUUCAGUCACUGCCAUUUUGAUGUUAGUUGAACCAAGCUCAUCAAAACGAGCUUGUAGAUCUUGACAUAAAUCUGUCUUCGCAGCUGAAUCUUGAUUAUCUCUAGGUGAUUGGGCAUCUGAGCCAUCAUCGGCAAAAGCCUGGUUUUCAAAUUAGAAAGAUAGAAACAGGAUAAAUGAGCAGGCAGUCAGAAGAGACAAGCUUAUAUGAGGCAGAAAAGCAGCAAACAAAACAAUAUUGAAACAUGUUAUUAAAAAACCAGCAAGCUCGAGUUAGAUAUAAACUAAUAUAAGAAAAAAAAAAGGACCAAGUAACUAAGUUAUUCUACAAGGAAUGUGCAAAAACAUAAUAAAGCAGACCAGAAUCACUAAUCGAAGAAUUUUCUAGUGACAUAUACAUAAUCAACAAGUUAAUCGAAAAGUUAGAUGUCACCAGCAAGGGAAAAGAGUUGGUUCUUAGUAGCUUCAGGUAAACAAGCAUAAAAGCGUGCUGUGCACAAAAGCAAUUGGCCCAUAACUUAAUAAUGUCGCCAAAGACAAUAAAAAAUGCAGUAAGAAAGCCAUAUUUCCCUUAAAUGUACUUGUAGAAGCAUCAAUGUGAAAAUCAAACAUCUAGCACAAUUUGAACUGCAAUCAACCUUCAUCUCUAGAGUAAUGGAAGUAGAUACUACAGAAACAAAAUGAAGCAUCAAGAUAACUACAAAGACAUCACAAAGUUGAAAAGCUGUAAACAACAUGAAAAGAAAACCUUAUAGUCAUAGAGAUCACUGCCAUCAUAUCCACUGCUUUCACUUAGUUUUCCACUAAGAACACGUUCAUCAUUCACUUCCAGAUCUACAUUUUCUGCAUCAUGAUAUCCAUUUUCCUUCACAUCUGUAUUUUCAUCAUCUACGGAAUCUUCACUGCCACUCUCUUCAACUUGAGAGUCCGGAGACGUAGAGCCUCUAUGAAGAUUAUCAUCCUGGAAAGGGGAAGAUUUUUUUUUUUAAAAAAAAACAGUGGCAAUAAUAGCACAACUUGAAUAAAAGAUGCAGGAAGACUGUUAAAUAUGGCUUGGACAAUUUCAAAGAAGAACAAAUUAGGAUUCGAAAGAUUAUGUCUACUUUCACUGCAAAUGUAUAGAAAGACUACUAACUAUAUCACAUCAAAGAAAAAAGGGAUUACAACUGUGAGCCUGUAGAAUUAUAAGACAGGUUCUGUUAAAUUAUACAAUAUUUUAAAAAACAGGUUCUAUUCAGGUUCUGUCAACCUAUAUAAGACAGAGAAGCUUCUUGUGAUUUGGUACAAAAAAUUAAAAUCUCAAGCUGUUCAGUCUAAGAUAAGUCAUAUAAUCCAUUUAACCAACCAAAUAUCACUUUUGAGACUAAAAGAUAUCAACAAAUACAAAAAUAAGAUAUAAAAAAUCAACCCUCGAAGUUGGCAAGAAUCUUACGUCGAAUAUAUUCUCAUAUUCCUCCAAGAGGGUCGUGAUAAUUGCUUGCGCAUUAUUAGCAGCAGCUGCUGCAGCAAGAAGCUGAGCAGCAUUAUCACCAUUCAUAUCGAAUUCAUCCUCCAUUUCACAUUCACCAGCCAAAAGCGGCCGCAACAAAAGAGGGGCCAUGCAAGUAGCAACAGCUGACGGACCCAUUCGAUUCUCUGUAGCAUGAGAAGUAAUAAUGUGCAUCAUCUUCAAAACCCUGAGAUUCAAACACACUAAGUGGUUAAGAAAUAAUAUUAAGAUUUUAAAAAACUAAAUUGACCAACCAACCAGAAAAUGUUAAAUAACCAACAGCUAAUUCGAACUUUACUGAAAAUCGUUAGUUACUUCCUUAUAUCACCAGAUUAAAACUACCAUCUGCUUAAAUUAAACAAGCAAACCACGCAAUCUACUGAUAACAGCAUGAUAUUUAAAACUUCCAGUAAGCAAAUUUAACAGGAAUUAAUCGUGGUGGUAAACUUAAUAACAAUCACAGUGAGCUACAUGGAAAUACCACAUCCUUCAACAACUAAAUCCUUGAAAAGAAAAAAUCUUCAAUAUUUGUUCAAUUAGCAUGUCAGAGAACAGAAGCAGCAUCUUAACCAAAGACUUAAAUGCUCAUCGGCAUGGGCCGUAUCUACCGUGCCGUAUCAUGCCAAAAAGAUAUCGGCACAUACAGUCCUCAUGCCGAUGGUACAGCUCAAAACCCUCUAUUCUUCAAAUUAAUAAGUAAUUUUAUCAACAAAGUUCAAAAAAAUUGAUAAAGAUACAAAAUAAAUUGUUAAACUAUUUUGUUGCUAAAGAAUAUAAAUAUUUCAUGCCAUUAUGUGUCGGCACAUAUAUUUUUUGUGACUGGCACACAUCGGCACGCACCGUGCUUGCAAGUUUCCAGCACGACCCCGUGUCACCAAGGAUUUAAGUAUCGUGGCAUGGGAUCGUGCCGGAAACUUGCUGGCACUGUACGGCACGGUGCGUGCUAGGCCGUGCUGAUACGUGCUGUUCACAAAAAAUAUAUGUGUGCUGACAAGUAAUAGCAUGAAAUAUUUAUUUUCUUUAGCAACAAAAUAUGCAAAUUAUUUGUUAUGCAUUUUUAUCAAAUCUUUUGAACUUCAUUGAAAAAAUUACUUACUAAUUUCAAGAAUAGAGGGUUUUAAGUUGUGUCAUCGACACGGAAACAAUAUCGUGCCGAUAUCUUGCUUGCACGAUAUGGCACGGUGGAUACAACCCGUGUCUAUGGGCAUUUUAAUCCUUGCAUGUCAUGGCACUCAAAUCCAUGAUCUUAACACGAUUUCAAUGUAGCAAGUAAUGCACUAUACUAGAAUAACUAAGUUUAGGUCUAGACAGAGGAUGCAUAUGGAUAAGUGGGACUCAUCAUACAGAUGAACUAUCAAAAAUGCCGGCAUAUUGAGAGCAUUGCCACUUUUGUUUUGCACAGAGAAUGUUCAGUAAUCAAUACCAUGAAUAGUUUUAACGGCUUCUAGAUAUACAAGAAUAUAGAUAUAACAUAGAAUUGGAAAUAGUACAACAGAUAUUACUAUAACAGAAAUUUACAGAUAAAUUCUAUCAGAAAGGCAAGGUGGGAGAUAACCUCUGCAACAGCCGUCUAUUUGGUUCUGGAAAUGCCUCUGACAUUGCAGUCCGCAUAGCAUCAAUGCGAGCUUCCUUCUUUUCCAGUUCUUAACAGGAAAUUUUACAGGAAAAUAAGAUAAUUAUAAGGAAAUGAAUCAACAUGUAUCUAAUCAAAAUAUUAUGGUAAAAUAAGCUUCCUUCCGGGCCAAAUUUGGUUGGGAGAUAAAACUGGUUGUGUUUUAUAACAGGCUAAAUCUGGUUGGGACAUAUCGUAAGAUAUAUGACCUUUUGGGUUUAUUAAAGGCUUAAGAUAUAAAGCUUGUAUCAAAGAACAUGAUAGAGAGAGAAAUUCAUAAAAAAGAAGAAACGCAACCAAGAGAACUUAUAUGACCUUUCUGGAAGAGCAGAAGAGAUGUACUUACUAUAAGCUUCCAGUAAUGCAGUACAGCAGGAAGCAGGAACUGGAGAAGAUGGUAGCUCCCGAAGAACAUGCUAGACAAACAAUUUCAUAGGGUCCCAAAAUUUUAAAAAAACUCAACUAAGCUUGAAUGAAAUAAUCAGCAAACUAGGUACUCAUCAAUGCAAGGAGGGGGGGGGGGGGGGGGGGGUGGAACCUUAACACAGUCACCAACAACAUGAGCAUCUUCAUCUGCUGUGAACUCAAUCCUACCUGUUAAUUGAUUUAAAAGAAAGCAUGCCUAUAACCAAAAGGAUCACAUUUGGACAGAUUUCUCAUCCUAUAAACAUACUUUUGAGAGAUCAAAUGAGGUCACAAGCCACUGUUGUCUAUAAACUACAGUCAAAAUAAUGCAGAUAAAAGUAGAGUCCACAGAAUAGAAAGAUUUGAAACCUUGCUCAUACUCUUGCACUCUCCGAUCAACUUCCUCAACAUCAGCUGACUGACGCAAUAUUCCUUCUACCUUUGUUCCUGUAGCAGAAUGUUCACGCAACUAAUAGUUUACUUCCAUAAAUCCACCCAAAAUGGUUCGGCUAAAAAAAUAUUGCUCCAUGCACAUCUUAGGAAUUGAAUAUAUUUAAUGAAAGACAACUAGAAAGCAUAACCACUAAAUUUUUAGCAGGCAGUUCAACAAUAACUGCGAAUGAUACUACGAAAAAGAAAAUUAAAAGCAGCACACGUGAGAAGUAAAUAGUAUAAACAGGUUGUAGCACUUGUUGGCUAUGACUAAUAUGAAAAUUCAGGAGUAUCAGGAUAACAAAAACAUGCUAACUUGGAUUGCUGGGAUUGCAAAGCUGAAGAUUACUAAAUUUUUGCAUGUUUUAUGUGCACUAUAGAAACACCUUAGUCUUUAUGUCAAACUCUUCCAACCAAAGUUGGCGUACAAAGAUAAAAAAACACCUCAUUAGUAUACAGGGAAUCCUAUAGUUUGCAACAACAAUUAAUAUCAGGUAAACUAGUAGGACACCCUAGCCAAAUGAAUCAAGUAAUUAGGCCAUACCAUAUUUCUCCAGGAAACGCAAAGCUUUUUCGAGAAAAGAAGGGCCUCCAUCGAUGUCCUCGAGUGCAAGGAGAAUCGGCCUACCAACAACCAAUGAUUUGAUAGGGCGCUUGCCCCUCCCUAUAUAAGAUAGAGAAUUACCAAACACGAAACUUUUAUGACUCAAAGAUAACAACAGCUAGAAACCAGCUUUAUUCAUAUUAUAAGUUCAAUGAAGCAUGAUCUUCUUGCGGAAAGGAAUGAAGAGGAACGAACAUUCUUGAAUGGAUCCUUCAAAUGCAUCUGUAUUCUCAUUACGAAAUAUUCCAUUGUGUCCCAUGACAAGAGCAGCAUUUGGAGCUUGCACAAGAGCAUUUUCUAGUGCAGUUUUCCAUUCAAACAAGUCUUCAGAUGAUUCUGCCUGCAAAGGAAAUGAAGAAGAAAAUGUAUGGUCGAAGUACAUUAUGCACAUGACACAUACAUAUAAAUAAAGCAAUCAACUUUUCUGUCCAUCUGCAAUUGACCAAAAACUGUAUAGUAUAACUAAAAGAAACACCUUAAGAGUGAAUGCUCGCCCAUCACGACCAUCUGGAAAUAACACAGUCAACAACUUCUUAUCUUCCCUAACCACCACACUGCAAACAAAGGACAUAUAAACACCCUUCAGAAUAGUAUACAACAUAACCCUUACAGAAUGACAUUCAUGCAGAAACUUGAACAAGUAUAAUGAGAGAUAUACCUUCCUGAAUUAUUCAAGUCAAUGCCCCCCAAAGUAAGAUUCACUUCACCACCUCUCUGGGGCAGUGCACUCUAAAAUAUGAAAAGGUAUUUGUAAGAAGUUUCUAAUUUCUCAUGUGAAGAAAAUCAUGCACUCUAAAAGUAUAGAGAGACUAUAUAGAAUUGGAUCUCAAUUAACCAAAUAUAGCGAAUACUUGAUUUAAAUUCAAAAAAAAGAAAAAAACAAGAGGGCCAAACAAUUUCUUUCGAAGCAGGAAAGAAGAAUAAUAUGAGCUUAUUUCAGCUGUGACUCCAAAACAGAAGAUUUAAAGAGAAUCAACAGAAGAAACAAACAAGAAAAGGAAAAGAGAAGAAAGUAAUAAGUUGAAUUCCCUCUGUAUAACUUUUUAAUUCUCAAAAUAGAUCAAGAAAACAUUCAAUUCUCCAUUUCUCACUACCCAUAUAUAGAAAAUGAUAAAAAAAGUCUAAUUAGCCAAGAUUAAGACAUCUAAACAAUACAAAGACUUCUACCAUCACAAUUAUAUUGUUUUUACACAGCAUAAGUAAAUCAAAGAAAAUUACAGUCCGUUUUUCAUGUUUGAGUUCCCACACUAGAAAAUUAUUAAUUAUCAUACACACAUUAUUUGGCGAAUACUAUAAAAAGUAAAUCAUUUACAAAGUUUUAAUGAGCAUAAAAUAAGAACUGGAUUUGUGAAAUAUAGCAUUGACUUUACGAACACUAACAGGAUCACUCUUGAAGAAGACUAAGGAUGUACGCGUGAGGAUGAACCAGCGCUUCUUCCAUGAUUUCCAACCAAUUCCUGCAAAAUAUAUGAACAAAGGCUGAUUGAAGUUAAAAACAAAGAGGAAGUCUUGUAUAGGGAUUAGAUUAUAGAAACAUGUAAAAGAAUGAAAGGUAAUAUAUUAUGAGGAGACAAUAUUGAUAACAUGCACAAGAAUAGAGUUGGAUUUCCCAUACUCGAAGUUUCUAUAAAUGAGUUCCAAUUUUGUAUUGACUCCACCUUCUUUGGGUUUUGGUUUUGACAUUUCCAGUAGUGUUGGCCAUUUCAAGUUUUAAUUUCAGAUAUAGUUCAAAAGUGUCCAAAGUACUCAAAGAUCAAUAAGCAUAUUAUCUUUGAAAUAAUUAAAUCUGAUAUGACAACUGACAGCAUUGCAGAGUGCAGUGAUGUUUCAUGUUAUUUCUACGAAAAGGGUAGCCAAAUUGUGUGUUAUCAUCUAUGAUAGAAACAAGUACAACUAAAACAAAUAGUAUGAACUGUGCAGGGAUCAACCAAAUUUGGCACAAUUAAACUUGAACAUAUUAAAUCUUGCUAGGCUCCACAUGGUACACAGCUCUCUAUGGAAAGUUGGAAAAUUUGUCAGCAGACUUACAUAAUGUAAAUCUCUAACUUGGACUUUCACUUAUUCACAAUAGAAUGACAUGAAUGAGUCGCAUAUGUAAAAAAGUAAAACUCUCAUAUUUUCAUGAAAGUAUAGAACCACUAAACCAAAAAAAAACUGAAAAUAAGUUGUGAACUUAGCAGAUAAAAGGUAAGAUUCAAGAAAAAAAUUUGAGAUCUCCGCUAAUCUAAACUCAGGAAAUAAACAUAUCAACAGGCGCUACAGUAUUUUAAACUAGCAUUGCCAAAUUCUGUUUCUUUACAGCAGUUUUUCAUAACUGUAUAAUUGAGAAGUGUUGAAGAAUUCAAAAGUUUACAAUGGCUUCUUUUAGCACCUCAAAAUUCUUGAAAAACAUCACAGAGACAUAAACAAGUGUUCUAUUGCCUAUCUGAUUGGUAAAACCUAGCUUAACAAUGAAAGCUCUUUUGUGUUUCAGUUAAACAUCAUGCUUAAAUGCACAAACAUGCAUCUUGAAAUAGUGAAUGCAUCUGUUCUUUCCGUAAAGAAAAGCAAGUAACAAACCUUUCGAUGAUAUGAAAAGGGGUCCACUCUUGAACACCUGUAGAAGAAGUUCAAAGAUGGAAAAACCAGAAACAAAAUAAAUAUGCAGUUGUCAAAAAAGGCAAACAUGCAAGAACAUGCAAAACUAGCAUAGUUUUCCUCUUAAAUAAAGCAUACCCCCUCUAUUCUCUAGCUUUUUGUUUCAUAAACCAACAAAAGAAUCCCCUCAACAAUAUGAGUCGUCGUUGCCUAAGCUUACAUUCAAAAUGAAUUUUGUAGGAAAAUAGACCAUCAAGGAAGCAUUAGUUUGUAAUUUUAUACAUCGGAAUGGUGCUCCGGAUUACUUUGAGGUGUACCAUCGUGAAGUCUAUAAGAUUACGUAAUUUAAUUAAAAAAAAAAGAGAUAAACAAAAUAAAGAGUUACCAACAUACAUGUGUAAGUGCUAUAUAAAUGGCAAUUCACAGAAAUUAAUGAGCUAGAUCUGGUAGAUCUUAUAGGCGAAUAAGACAAAUCCUGAACACGUAAACAUACUACACGAUGCACUAGCACACUGCAGCGCACACUAGAAUGAACAGUGUGAUGGUGAAUCGCCCUUUAGAAUAUGUUGGCAAUUCGGUGCCAUUGUGUGCAUAUUGCAGUACAAAUGCGUUCCUUACAUUAAAAUAACAGCUGGAGUAGAAAAAACCCAGCUGCAUUACUCAAUCUAUAGCUCCACAUUUUGCAAUUUCAUUUUCUGCUCGCAUUGAAUUGCAAUUCUCAACCUCCCUCACGAAAAAUUCCGCAUUUCGCAAAAAAAUCCCUCUUUUGCAAGCAAAAUAUACUGAAUCGCCCCAAAAGAAGGCUCUUUUAAAAGCAAAAUCACCACCUCCACAACCUCGAACACUAGAAUAUACACUCCUUCAAUACCCCAAAAAUGCAGUAGACGCGAAUUCUCUCAGUCACAGAACCACAACAGAUAACAAACAAAAUGCUAAAGACCAAAAAUGCUAGAGACCACAUCUUUAUAACCUUCCAAAAUUGAACAAAUUUCAAAUCAGGUGAAACAAAGCAUACAUACGUACCGCAUUCGACGCCGCAGCGGCGCCCAGAGCCGGAGCCGAAGACAUUUCUCGAUCACCGCCGAUCGAAUCAGCUACAUUCCCACCGUCCCCUUCAAAACCCACGAGAGCGUUGGCCGAAGCCGAGGAAUGAAGCAACCCCAAGCUCGAAAGGGACGGAUCGGGUCGCCCCCCCCCCAACCGAUGUCGCGUGCGAUGGGGAUUUGGGUGUUGGGAAUUAGGUUUGGGGUUUUGAAAGCGCCACAGUGAGGAAGGAGAGGAGGAGAGAGAGAGAGCGAGGGAGAGGGUAAUAAAGCAAAGGAUUGGGACGUGGUCUCUCUCUCUCUCUCUCUACACUCCACAGCUGCUUAAAUGGUCCCUCGUUUUGUAAGCUUCUUCAAAAAGCCUCUCCUCUCCCCCCUGUUUACAGCGUGAGUUUUAGAGAGAGAAAACAGUCAUGGAGAUAGAUAGUAGAGAGAGAGAGAGAGAAGACGAAGAAGAAAUCGCCUGCACCCUGUACGUGCGCCGUGAACUAUAUCAAAUUAAUCGCAAUUUGAUUGGUUGAUUUAUUUAUUCAUCAUUCUAUAGGAUUCGAUUUUUUGAAUUCAAAUGCGCGCAAUGUUCGGAUACACCGGGCGUAGGGAAAAUUUCUCUCCCGAGCCGGAGAAUUAGGUGGGUUGGUGAAAGAGAGGCGGUAANUUUUUUUUUUUUUUUUUUUUUUUUUUUGGGAUCUGCUUUUGUUGGUGGAAGCUCAACUGCUACAGUGUGAUUGCAGAUAGUGGGAGAAGCUCAAACAAAAAACGACUGCUUUUAUUUCCCUUUCGAUUCGAAUCUUUCCCUUUCUUAAGAAAAGAUGAAAAUUGGAUAGAAAUUUUUAGCUGAGAUCUACUUUGGUUGGCACCUCAGAAAUUUUUAAACUCUCAACAUUAUGCGCCACGUCAGCGGAGCAUCGCUAUGCUUACCCAGAGUCUCCCCAGCAAUUCUUCUUGUAAAUUUUUCUCUACCGUCAAAUUUUUACAGACUCUACUCUCCGAAGCAUCUCCAUAAUUUUCUCAACGGUUUCAUUUAAAAUAUUUUAUCGAAAGUUUUAAAAUAUACUUUUGUUGUUUUAGCAUCCGAAGUGUCAUUUUAACUUUUUUACUUUACAUUAUAAAUGUUUUUGAAAGUUCCCAAGUCGAUUAAAUUAGAAAUAAAAAGCGAACAAAACAAACCUUUAGUCCCAAUGCCUAACGCGGUUGACUUAAUUAGAAAGUAGAUUAGAUGGCCUGUCAAUAACUUUCGCAAAAAUUUCCUCAAUCUUAAUGAAAAAGAUAAUAUUGAGAAAUAUUAAUUAGGUCAGGAGUUGUUAAGGGAGCUUGUCAAGCUAAUCAAUUAAUCCUUUAUCUUAAUUAGCUUGUUUGUUGUUAAUUAAGAAACUUUUAGGCAAAAGAGAGUAGAAUAUAGAAAGUAAUCCUUUCUACUUUUUUAUGGAAAAGGUGGAGAUGCUUGGUACUUCAUUUUCUCACUUUGGUUGCUGUUUUUGUAUCCUUUAAUAUGCGCCUUGGUUUAAAAUUUUAUUAUCAAGACUUUUAAAUUUAAACGUACCAAUUUUAGUUCAUUAAAUGUGUUUUCGCGACACUAAAUAUGUCUAUUUUGAAAACCAGUAAUUUUUCGACAUCUUAUCAUAUCUAAGUAUUCAUUAGAAAUUCAGCAGUAUUUUUCCUCAAAUACUUAAUGCUUGGAUCGUAAUUAAGUUUUCAAAACUUAUAAUUUUGUUUUUAAAAAGCUUAAGUUAUUAGAAAGAUAUCAUUAAUUUAAUUAAAGCGUACAAAAAUAUUGUCCAUGAUUCUCGAUUGUGAUUCAAUCCAAUUCAGUCUCCUGUCAUUUCGGAUCCAAUCUUCUGUUGUUUUGAACAUAAUUCGAUUCAAAUUGACUUCUCAUCACGAGGCAGAAUGCUGCUCCUUUUAAGUCGACAAUAUACGCUUUAAUAUUGUGGAUUAUAUUUAUUAUUAUAACACCAUAUAUAAUAAUCAAAUAUUGAAAAAGCUGCAAUUAAUAUAUAUCGGACAAGAACUUUAUAUUAUAUCAAUCUUAUUUAGUUACGUAAAAUGACGAAGAAUCUAGUGAAAAGUAAAAUAUCAACUUCAUAUUAAAUGAUAUAAAACAAAAAAUGCGGCUCUUUGUUUUGUGCCAUAUGAAAACAUUCGAUAGAAUGUUAAUAUUUUACUUUUCACUAGAUUCUUCGUCAUUUUANUUUGUUAGGAUUCAAGACAGGGCUGUGCACGGAAACAAAAUUAAAAAAAAAAGGGACAAACAUAGAAAAUGCAGUAUUCUAUAUUCCGAAAAAAAAAAAAAAACUACUAUUAAAGAAAGUUGCAUAUUUUUAUGUUAAUUUAGAACUAUAUUUAGGUGCAAUGUAUAUGCGUAGAAAAAGUAAAAAGUACAGGGAUGAACUUGUAAUAAGGAAAAAUUAUAGGGACUAUCCAUAUAUUUACUCAGCUUCGUACUUUUGUUGUCGAUGAACCAUUUGGUCGGCUCAUUUGGCGUUAUUAACUGUCCAAGUUUAGUUUUUUGUCCAAUUGUGCAAGACCCCGGCCAUUAUAGAUGAGGGAAGGGGCACUUGGAGAUCACGUGACAAAGAUGGGGCCCACGUGUGUUUGUUGUGUGAUUAAGACCCUAAACCCUAAAUCCUGAACGUGACGUCCCCGAUCAAUAAAAUUAUUUUUUUUAAAUUCAUUGAUGCAAUUAUAAUUAAUAAAAAAAUAUUUUAAUUAUAUUAUUUUUUUCUUAAGAGAAAAUAUAUGAUCGACUUAUUGUUACCUAAGUGUGAUAUUAUAGACAUUCUCUGAUUGCAGAGAGUGUACAUGUGACCUACGGAUUUAACUGCAGAAGAUGCUUCACAACUAUGCGAGUGAAACUGCUCGCACCCAGAUUUUUUUUUUUUAAAAAAAAAACCUUCUCCCUGAGCCCUCAUUGAUUUAAUUUAUCGUACGAAGAUAUAUACGCUCAUUACUGACUCAGUUGUCACACCUUUGUCCAGGUACCUAGCUAAUAAUUGAAUAACAAUGGCUUUAAGAUGAUUUAAUAGUUUAAUCAAGUAGCAGUCACAUCACUAAUUCACUUAAAACAAGUAAUUAGAGCUUGAAGAGUCACUUGAUUGAAACAGAAAUUAAAGAUUAAUGCCUUUAUUAAUUGUUAGCGCUUAAUAUGUAAAGCAAUUCAGAUAAAAUGAAUUGGUCUUUUUCUUAAUUUUUUGGAUCAGAAGUUUUUAUCUCGAAACUAAGUGGAUUCCACUUAUUAUAGUAACAAGCUUAUCAUACAUGCACUACGAACCAUGCAUGUUGGUUUUUUUGGCUAUGCUUUUAUUUGUGUUACAUUUAGUUAGUUCCAGAAGAGCAUAUAACUGGUAAUCAAAUAUUACCACAAUUCUUAGCAAAGAGUCUAGCAAUUUGCAGCUGGGUACUGGCAAUGAUCUCAGUUCUCUUCAAAUCCAUCUCUCCUCGCUUCGCCUCCGCCUCGGCCCUGAUCAUCUCUACUUCCCUCAUCGCCUCCAUUCUCGCAUGCUCCACCUUCAGCACGACCUCCGCGAAGUACUGUAUGCUCCGUAUCACCUCCGACAUCACGUCUUUUUGCUCUUUUCUCCUCUUCCUCUUUCUAUUGUUUUUCGCCGUUUCGCGCUUUUCGCGUGAUCCAUCAUCAUUCGAUUGUGUACUAUUGCCCUGCACCUCCUUGUUGUUAGUGGCCUCAUUUCCGUUUUCCUUGGCCGGUGUGUCUCCACAUUCACCCUGCUGUUAAGGGGAAAGUUACGUACUAAAUUACACACAUCCAAAUAUUUUGAUGUAACUUUUGCAAUCGGGGCAUGCUAAGAAACUAGAACUAAAUCUUUGUGUGCAAAAAUUUUCUAUGAAACUAACGGCUCCAGUAUAUCAUAUCCUACUUUUGAUGAACAAGGAGAUCAUUUUGAUUGCAAAAAAAUUACAUUAUACUCUCAUCUAUUGGCUGGAUCCUACAAUUUAACACAAUGAUAUAAUUAUAAAACAUUUGCAAAUCAAUGAAAGUACAUAUAGAAUACAGCUAACUAUCAGUAAAUACGUACAAAUAUGAAAAAUUAUGCAAAACUUCGAAUCUUCUCGCCACAGUGAUAUCAAAAUUCGUGAUUUUUUUAAUUCACUAAAGUAUUAUAUGAAAAAUAAUUGUAGCUAAAAGUAAAAGCAGCAUUAAAAUAGAUUGCGAAACUCAGCAGGGUCUUGUAUUAACCCGACAUGGCUCGGCCCUUAUCUGAAUUUGUAACUGUAUCGCGCCGUGCUGUACCGUACUGUAUGAUUAAAUUCACACGAGAACGCGAUGUUGAACAACGCACCUCUACUAUUACGGCGUCCCCGUCGGCCUUCGGCAGUGACACCUCACCAGCUGGCGCUACUGCCGCCGCAGCCGACUGCUCAUGUUGCUCCUCAGACUCGAGGCCGAUCAUCGCCUCCGCCGCAGCGCCGACCCCCCGACACCGGACCAAACCGUCCAGCCGGUGAAACAAGGGCCACUUGGACCCCCCGACCACCGCGGGUCUCACCGCCGCCUCCGAGCGAUACCGCUUCUUCAUCGACUCCACCUUGUUCUUGCACUGCGUGGCCGUCUUCGGCCCCUUGCAACUCCGAUCCCCGGCGCGGCACGACACGGCGCGCGCCACGUCCUCCCAGUCGUGGCCCUUCAGCUUGGCCCGGUUCCGGAGCGCCCAUUUCGCCUCGUACGCGUCCAGCAGCGCCGCCACCGCCGCGUCGCUCCACUCGUCCCUCUUCCCCGGCCGUGCCGCCAACUCCUCUUUAUUAUUAUUAUUAUUAUUAUUACUACUACUACUAAUCCACAACAACUCUUUUUCCUCCUUUGCUCUACUCCCCUUCUCUUCCAUUAUUAUUCAAUUCUCUCCAUUAGUUAUUUACAUUUACAUUUUAUUUUUUUCUUUUUGUUGGAGGUCGUAGUAGUAGUGGUGGUGGUGGUGGUGACCGGUUCAUCAAUAACAUUAUUAUUAUUAUUAUUAUUAUUAUUAUUAUUAUUAUUAUUAUUGGCAUGCGUCGUCACGGGCAUCAUCGAGCUUUUAGUUUGGUAACUUUUUUGAGGGUGUUGUUUUAGCCGUGAAAUAUGCGGUUAGUUGUGACUUGUGAGUGGGCUCGUGGUGGGUGCGGUGUCAGGCGUGCCCAUUUGGCCGUUAGCGUGGAAACAAUGAGAAAGUAUAUAUUCCCCGUUCUAUCGAGUAAUAGUGUUUUUUUUUUUUUUUUUUUUUUUGAAAAAAGAUAACUCACCAUCCGCUUUAUUUAUUACAAUAAUAAAUUAGACUACAUGAGUGAGACAACGUGAGUAUCGAGAGUAUAAAACAUAAAACUUAGGGAAAAUAAAAAUCGUCAACGGCUUAGUUGAGAGUUGCUUUCAAAACUUCGUAAACUACUUCACCUGCACGGCUGCAUAUAUGAUCUGCGCAUAUAAUAGCACAAUUGGAUAAGAAUUUAAUAGUUAGUAUAUCAAAUUUUAAAUUUUAAAUUUAAUUAUUUUAUAUUUUUGUUUAAAUUUAUUUUACAAAUGACGGAAUUUUCUUUAGGAAAAAAAGAUUGUAGAGAUUUAAAUAAAAAAAUUAUCUGAUAAUUUUAGAUUAAACAAGCAUUUAAACAUUUUUGUUCAAUAUUUAAAGAAUACUAAUUUUAUAUAGUUUAUUACAUCGGCCCAAAAAUUCCCUUUUCACUUGUCAAAAUUGAUUAGUUUGCAAUGUAGAAUUUUUCAAUCGAAAUCUUAGAAGCAGAAAAUGUUUAAAUUUUUAUUUUUCUUGUUACCAAAUUUUUUUUAAAAAAAAACAUUAUAAGCGGUCGACGUUUCCUUUCUUAACUGUUUUAUUUAUAAAUCUAUCUAAAAAUAAUUAAAAAAUAGCAAUAAUGACAAAGGAUGCUUAAUUUAUUACCAAAUUCCUAUAGCUCAAGAGUGUUAUAUAACUAUUUGCCAAUAGAUCAACUGCGUAUAAAAAUCAUUUUUAAAAAUUUUGAAAAAAUGGAUACAUUUUAAAAAUUGUUUAGAAAAUAUUGUAAGGAUUAUUUGCUCUAAUACAGCUUGCUAUGCACCCUAGAAUCUAAAAUACUAUAAUCGAAAGAAAAAAAAAAUAACUAAAUUAAUAUUUUAUUAAUCAAAACACCUAAUACAACCCGUCUAUUAUUGAAGAAGCUCCCUAAUUAACCCCAGCUUCAUUAAUUCUGCUUGGCUAUAUAUAUAUGACUACACAUAUGGCCGUAAUCUACUCAAAAUUUUAAAAAUUAAUACAAGUUUAUAAACCAACUAAUCGUAUCAUUGUAUAAUUCAACUUCAAAUGAAGUCAUUUCUAUAUAAAAUAUAGAAUCCAGCUACUAUUCUUUUAGGAGGAGCGUAGGCCUUCGUCCUUUUAAGUUGUUUUAGAUAAUAGGGAUUCCGAUUCGAUGAUUGGAAUCAUUAAAGUUAUUUUAGAGUAUUUAAAGUAUUUAGAAACCAAAUUUUAUAGGUUUUAAAAAUUAUUUACAUAGUGAUCAAAUGAUUAAAAAAUUGACAGCUUUUGAUAGUCUGUUUGAGCAGUUUGUUUGUUUAACGGUGUAGAGCAAUCCAAACCGCUCCGCUUAAAUUUUUGAUAAAAUUUUUUUUAUACUACUUAUAUAAAGUUUGAUAAUUCUCAUUAUGAAUUGAGAAAAUCUAAUAUCUAUUUUCACAAGGUUAUUUAUUUUUUAUCGUUCAUUUUUUGGCUCUUUGAUGGAUUUGACAGUAACUUUUAAAAUUUAUGAAUUUAGUUUCUAAACACUUUAAAUACUUUAGAUCAACUUUAAUGGUUUCAAUUAUCGAUUCGAAAUUUUUACCAUCUAAAACGACUUUGGAGGACCUCCGUUCUCUUAAAAGUAUAAUAACUAAACUCAUAAAAUAUAUAUCUCUAAUCAAAUAUUGAAUUAAGGCUUAGUUUGGUAUUGAGGUCUAUCUAAUGCUAUUAGAUAAAGGCUUAGUUUGGUAUUGAGACCUAUCUAACGCUAUUAGAUAAAAUAGAGUUGUGGAAAAAGCAUAUUGGAAUAUGCUUCUGCGUUCUCCGGUGAGACCGCAGAAAAUAUAUCGUAACUGAUUCAUCGCGAUAUGCGGAACGUAAUAUUACGUACGGAAACUCUAACUAAGUUUGGAUUACUACUUGUAAUAGAAAAACCUGAGAAGAAGAAGCCAUAGAUGGACUUUCUCACCGCACGUAACGCAAUCUCCCUACAAUUUCAAAUAAAGACUAAUUCUAACUAAGUUUGGAUUACUACUUGUAAUAGAAAAACCUGAGAAGAAGAAGCCAUGGAUGGAUUGAGUAGGAAAGUGGGGCGACGGUGGGGUGGCCAGGAAUCAAUAUCUGUGGGUGGGCUAACCACUAGAGGUAGAUGGUGGGAUGGAAGUCAGUGGUGGUUUGAUGUUCAUUUUUCUUUUCCUUUUUCCUUUUUUUCUUUUUUUUUUUUCAGUUGGUUGCCGAAAGUGCGCACCAGAGGAGAGCAUCUAAAUUUGGUCCCCCACAGUCUGUCUUUUCGUUAGAAACUCUCGAGUGGUAAAAAAUUUGAUGGUUGGUAUCCGAAGUUAUUAGUUCGAAUCCUAACUGAUUCAUAUUUUUAAUUAAAUUUAUUUAUAAAUGAAAUAAACGAAGCGAACAGCAUGCUAGUUGGGCUGUCAACGGAUCGAACACGAGCGAGAUUGGCUCAAGAGGUCUCCUCGUGGUUCGGCUUGAGCUCGUGGCGAGUUGGAAAAGCCUAGCUCGUGAUCAAUUAUGAUCGCAUUGUUAAUUUAAUAAGCUAGCUCGUGUUCAGCUCGUUAGUUCGAUUAGUUUACUGAAUCGAGCUAGCUUAUAUAUGGCUCGAAUUAUUUACAAUUUGAAAUUUAAAUCUCAAGUUGAUUAUUUUGAAAAAUAUAUAUUAUUUUUUUUGCACGAAAAAUUUAAAUGAAAAUUUUGUUUUUUGUAUGUGUAAUUGCAUAUAUAAAUAUAAUACAUGUAAAACUUGUAGAUAUACAAUAUAUGAAUUUUAGUUAUAUCGAAUUGAACAUAAUUGAGCAAAUUUCAGCGCGUGUUUAGCUCGUUAAGAUAGCAACCUGAAAAAUUCAACUUAUGUUCAGCUUAUCUAUUAAACGAGCAAUUCAAUUUUGAGCUUACUUCGAACCAAAAUUGACGUGCGAACAGCAAGGUGAAUUGGCAGUCUAUGUAUUAGAAAAGCAGUACUGAUUUGACUUUAAGUAAAGAGCACAAAAAAAAAAAAAUGAAAUAACCUUUUAAUGUUUUGUUGAGCUAUUUAUGUAUUGAACAUGGAAGGUAGUAUUACUCAUGCGCUGAGUCAAAUUUGUUAUGAUAAAAUGAUAGUGUGCUACUAGUUUUUUUAAAAAAAUAAAUUUAAUUGAAGAUAUGAAAUAAUUAAAUUUUGAAUUUAAAAUUUCGAAUACCAAUCCAUCAAGUUUAGAAUAUUGAAGAUGGUAGGAAGUUGUUUAAGUUUAUCAGAAUAUUGAUAAUAAAAUGCAAUAAAUAACUACGUUUCUAACUUAGAAUUUCGAAUACCGAUCAUUAAAUUUUUUACAAUUUGCGUUAGGAAUAUGCCUUUUUUUUUUAUGUGCUCAUAAGAUGCAGAUAAGCAUUUUUGCGUUCCAUCAGUAAUACAACUUGUAGGUUCUGCACAACCCAUCUCCAUGGGAUUGUUGAUUUGUUAACAAACCACUAUAAUACAUGUGGGGAAAAAAAAAAAAAAGAAAAAAAGGAAGCCUCUCUAAAAAGCAACAGUUAAAUUAAUGGGUAAAUUUCAAAUACCAUUUAUAUGAUUUCGCAUUUUCUCACUUUAGUAUUCUGUGAUUUAAAAUAUAUCAAUUUAGUAUCUUGUGGUUUUAUUUUUCUCUUUUCGUCAGUUCUUUCGUUAACAUUUUGUUAAAUUAUAUAUAAAAAACUUUAGAUACCUCACUUAGGUUUAUCGAAUAUUCACUUUACUAAUUUAACAAAAAAAAUGGUAGAUGGAAUAAUAAAAAGAGAAAAAAAAACCACGGGAGUACUAAAUUAAUACACUUUUAACUAUAGAAUAUUAAAAUAAAAAAGUACGAAGGAGUGGUAUUUGAAGUUUUCUCUAAAUUAAUUGCAGGGAGGCUUUAUAAAUUUUGUUCCAAUUAAUGAAUAGGAAAAAUGAUGACGGGCUUUUUUGGGGCCGGGUCUUCGGAUCUAGCCUCCAAAACCCAAAAGUCCAAGAAUUCACUAUUGUAGCCAUUGAUAUGAUUACUUUAAGUUAAUUUCUGACUAUUAUUUUUAGGGUAACAACCCUAACCCCCCAAAAAAAAAGAAAAACUGGAAAAAAAAUCUUUUAAGGUUCCUAGGGUUCGUAGGUUUAACAGGAUGAUUUCAUUGUUGAUGAGAGGCAGGAUCGUUCCAUACACAAAAAUUCUAUAUGCGCAUACCUACCGGAAACUUUUUCGUGCACAAUCUCUAUAAUAGGAGAAGAAGAGAACGUAAAAUUAUGAAAUUAUGAACCGAUUGUUUCAAAGUAGAUGAUGGGAGAGCACACAAAUCAAUCCAACGUUUUCAGCAAAAAUUGUGUUUCUAAGGCACAUUAAAUUUUCCGUCUAGCUAUAAAAUUACCAAAAACCAAGAUAUAUAUAAAUUUUUAAAAAAAGUUCACAUAACUCAAAAGGAGGAUAAAUUCAAAACAAAAAAAUGGGAGUUUGCAGCCAGCACUAGCUCUUGAUAGUACUGACUGUCUUUUGAUCUCAGCGAGCGAGAAAAGACCUUCUUCAUCAUCUUUGAUGUCCAAUGUUGCAUUGUCUGAAACAAGAAGCUAAUUGCUUGGGUGAAAGCAGACUAGGGUAAAAACCUCCAAAUAAGUCCCCGUGAUUAAGAAUGAUCGGAAGUUCUGAUUCAUCGAGAUUGUAGUGAAGCGGCGUUAAGAGUGAUUUCGAAGAAUCCUUGCUAGUAUCAUAGCAGAUCCACUUACUGAGCUUAAAAAUUUUAGGCCGGUGGUUUAGUCCAACGAGUUAUUACAUCAACUGAAAAGAUCGUAGACUCGUUACGACCACCAUUCGUCCGUUGAGAUACAAUGGCCUUCCGGAUGGGGUCAUGUCCAGAUUCUUAGAAACCAUUCGCCCUCGCUCGCUGCGACCUGCUAUGUCACGCACCUCAAGUACACCUGCAGCAGUUUAUUACAUCAACUGAAAAGAUCGUAGACUCAUUACAACCACCAUUCGUCCAUCGAGAUACAAUGGCCUGCCGGAUGGGGUCGUGUCCAGAUUCUUAGAAACCAUUCGCCCUGGCUCGCUGCGACCUGCUAUGUCACGCACCUCAAGUACACCUGCAGCAGCCCACCAGGGACCUACAUGGCUUUGAGAAAAAGAGAGCCUGAAGUGCUUGUAUCUUUUGCUCGAGGGACAAAAGCCUGAAGCGACAAAGUGACUGCACUUUCCAAAGGGAGGAGGAGUGCUUAGAAGUAUUAUCAGAGUCGAUUCACCAGCCGAAAGCAUGUGAUAAGUUUUGGCUGAGCCAGAGUCGAUGAAUGAUAGGGUAAGUCAAAAUGAGAAUGACAAAGGCUAGUGAGAUAAAUCUCACAUCGUCUAGUGAUAAAGGUUAGCAAGAUAAGUUUCACAUCGUCUAGUAAUUUUGAGUUGGACUGUAUAUGUUUAGGACUGACGAAAACGUUAGAACCUAAACAGGAGGGGCCGGUGGUUUGAGCCUAACAAAUUAUUAUUGUUAGUGGGUCGGAUGGUUACAAUGCUAAUUACGUUAUUCUCCUUAUUCUUGCUGUACCCGAGUAGCAGAAUCCCAAGUUUUAGGUCAGCUCCCAUCCGACGAUAAUGAAGAUUACGAUUACGAGAAAGUAUACAUCGCUCACCGCUCUGAACCACAGCUUGGAUACACAGCUGAACCUACCGGCGGCCUUCGUCGACAGCUAUGAAGAAUCUCUUGAAUGAUUUCAUAAGGCAGUUCAUUCCUCUUACUUCUCAUAAAAACUAUUUUCUUAUCCGUGUAGGGGUGAGCUUGUAUUAUAUAUGUUUUUUUUUUUUUGAGAGAGAGAUAGGUAGCACACUACCCGCUUCGUUUAUUUCAUUUAUAAAUAAAUUUAGCUAGAAAUGUAAAUCAACUAGAAUUCGAAUUUGGGACCUCGGAUACCAAUCAUCACGCCCUUUUCACUUGCACUCGGGACGGUCGGUUUGUAAUUUAUAUGUUCGCCUUUGUUUCUAGUUCUGUUUCAAAAAAAAUGUACCAUUUUUUUUUUUUGAAUCCUAUCUUUCUUUUGCUGGGAAACAAAGACAUAAUAUAAUAGGUAAAGGUGUAACCACGUAAUAUUUUUCUUGCAAAAUUUUCGCAGAGCCCCUGAAACAUAUAUGCAUGUGAAUUUAAAAAGAUUUGUUUCGUUUUUUGUUUUUUUUUUUUUUUUUUUCCGGGUGAAUAUGAACUUGGCUAUUGGGAAGUAGAAGGAAAAAAAGAUCCUAAAUUAAUUGAAUCAGAUCUUUCUCCUACCGUGAAAAAAAAAAGACAUAAUAUAGGUAAAGGAUGAGCCAUCAAAAUCAGUAAAUGAGAUCGUACAAAUAAAAAAUAAAAAAUCUUGAUCUUUUCUCUUUGUCAAAAAAUAAUCAAAAGCAGAAUGCUUGAUGUCCGCAAGUAACCACUCAAUUUUUUUUUUCUCUCUUUUUGUAAAGGCCCUAAAACAUACAUGCACGUGAAUAUAAAUAAGAGAGUCGUGAACUCGUGAUCACUAAAAAAUUAUAUAAAUAUAGAGAGUAGGGCUACUAUACUUUUAUGAGUAUUGGAGCCUUCGUACUCAUAAAUUAUUUUCGAUGAUGGAGCUUUCGAAUCGACGAUCCACUCUAUUAAAUAUGCUCUACAGUAUUUGAAACUUUUAGAAAAUAAAUUUCAUGAAUUUUCAAAAUCAUAAUAAAGUCCAUCAAGCGAGCAUAAAAUGAAAGGUCAAAUUUGAAUGACGCCCUAAAAAUGAAUGAUGGGAUCCUUCAAUUUAAGAUCGAAGUUAUUGAUCUUUAUCUAGAUAGUGAAUAGAAUUUUCUAUCAAAAAUUCAACAAAUUUUAAUUUUUUUACACCGUUAAACUAGCAAGUAUUCCAUAUCGACUGUUAAAAAUUGUUAAUUUUGUGACUUUUUGAUCGUAAGGUAAAUGAUAUCGAAAAAUUAUAAAAUUUAAUUUCUAGAAGUUUUAAAUGCUGUAAAUAACGUUUAACGGUAUGGAUCAUCGAUUCGAAAGCUCUAUCAUCGAAAACGACUUAUCGUACUCAUAAGAGUAUAGUAGCCGAACUCUCUCUCUCUCUCUCUCUCUCUCUCUCUCUCUCUCUCUAUAUAUAUAUAGGAUAUAUAUAUAUAUAUAUAUAUAUAUAUAUAAAAUUGUCAUGUCAUGCAUGUAUCCUCAAACUUUAAAUUAAUUUCAUAGUUUGGCAUGCAAAGAUGUGUUAAAUGGUUGGGAUUUCAAUUUUUAUAUUAGGACUUACAAUUAAUAUGGGUAUAAACAUAACUAAUUCUACUAUAAACAGAUCAAAAUUUACUAAAUCUAGUCAAAAUCUUCGUCAAUAAAUAACUCUGAGUUUGUGUGUCAAUAUCAAAAUGAGCUCUACUUAAAAUAUUAUUUACGAGUUAACAAUGAAAUGAUUUUUAAAUAUAUUAAUAAACUUAGUCCAUCAAAAAGGACAUAAAAGCCAGAUUUGAUUUGAGGAUGAAGGCGACAAUUUCUCAUGAGGUUCAAUGUAUCCUUAUAUGAAAAGAACCAAAAUUAUAUGAGAUUAAAAAAAAGCAACUUAACUCAAAAAGAAAUUAUAUUCCAUUAUGAUUUUAAAAUUAAUUGUGCUACUUAAAAUUAACAAAGGGUUACUUAAUUACUUGCUCUGUCCUUCUCAAGGUGAAUAAAUUUUUGGAUUAUAUUCUCACACCUUGAAUGCACCACCAAUUGGAAGGAUAUAUAUAUNUCUCCUAUAAAACAUAGUGAUAUUUUAUGUAACUUUCCAUCAUGUUAAUAGUUUUAUUUGCAGGCUGAUCGAUUGGCCUAUACUUAUCUACUACAUACUACUGCUACGUACUACGCACAUAGAUACAAUAUGUAAAAGAGAGAGAAAAUAAAGGAAGGAUAUAUAUAUAUAUAUAUAUAUAUAUAUAUAUAUAUAUAUAUAUAUAUAUAUAGUUCGGCUAUUAUACUCUUAUGAGUACUAUCGCCUUCGUAUUCAUAAGUUGCUUUCGAUGAUAGAGCUUUCAAAUUGACGAUCCAUACUAUUAAACAUUAUUUAAAAAUUUUUAGAAAUCAAAUUUUAUAAUUUUUCAAUAUCAUUUACCCUACGAUAAACAAAUUAAUAAUUUUUAACGGCCGAUAUGAGAUAUUUGAUAAUUUAACGGUAAAAAAGAAUCAGAAUAGGUUGAAUUUUUUGAUAGAAAAUUCUAUUCACUACCUAAAUAAAGAUCAAAAAUUCCGAUCUUAAACUGAAGGGUCGAUAAUCCGUUUUUAAGAUGUCAUUCAAUUUUAACCGUUCAUUUUAUACCCGCUUGAUGGACUUUAUAAGGAUUUUGAAAAAUUACGAAAUUUAUUUUCUAGAAGCUUCAAAUACUCUAGAUUAUUUGUAACGGUGUGGAUCGUCGAUUCGAAAAGCGCAACAUUGAAAACAACUUAUGAGUACAAAGGGCUCUAUACUCAUAAAAAUAUAGUAACCCUACUCUAUAUAUUUAUAUACUACAUAUUGAUUUGAUAAAAAACGACUCACGAUUAUACUUAACAUCUUAGUCUACAUUUACGACAAAUAUGAAAGAUCGAUAUUGUGUAAACGUUUACGAUAAACACGAAAGAUCGAAAUGAAAGACAUAUAUAUAAUUUCAAUUAAUAUGCAAGAUAAUUAGAGAUGAGGAGGUAAUCUUUAGCGUAAUUUAUUAAAUAAAUGUUGCAAGUGGGGAUCGAACCCACGGUCCUCUGGAACAAGGAGAUCUAAGAAGUAACUACAUAUGGUUUGUAUCAUGUUAUCUAAAGAAUUAAUUUGAUAAAAACGAUGCAAACAUACAUUCAACAUCUCUCUCUAUGUGGAUGAUAGAUUAAAAAGUGCGUAGAGUGCUUUUAUAUAUGAAGUAGGAGUUGAGAUUUAAUUAUUUACAUCCUUCUUUAUUUGUUAGCGGCCAAUGAUUAGCCCUACAUACUUAACCCUACAAGAAUAUAUAGGUGUGAAUUUUGUAAAGAAAAUAUAUAGGAUCUUUUAGAAAAGCUUUCUUAUAAACUAUUGAUAUGUUGACUAAUCUGUAUCAUAUUUUACAUUGCGUGCACAAAUUAAUUAAAAAUUUUCAUCUAUCAAUCGUCUACAAGAAUAAUUUAUUGAGUAAUCAGUUUCAGUGUUAUUGCGUGUGGUUCAGCUUUUCAAAUAAAGCUUGCAUAAGAUGGUUGAUAGAGAUGUAAGUGCAUUGAACCUUCGAAAUGAGACACACAAAGGGAAGAGUACGUGCCAAGUGUUAACGUUAAUUUUCGUGCUGGAUUUGACAUUAAUGUUUUUGCAUGCUUGGAACUUGUAUAUUUUAAGUAAAUCUCAGAUAUAUACUAAGCUAGACGUAACGCCUGCUUUCUUGGUCAAUAAUGAAAAUAGCAAACCCACGAGCACUUUUAUAGAGAAUUAAAAAAAAAAAAAUUUGCAAAGAGAAUGGGGCCAUACCUUUUUGACUUUGUUUAAAUUAUUCCUAAUUUUAACAACCCUUCACCUUUGAAGGUAAAAUGCUCGUAAUUAAAUAAAAAAAAUAUAUUGAAAAUGGAAAAUAUACAGAAUCUUUUAGAAAAGCUUUUUUAUAAACUAUUGAUAUAUUGACUUAUCUGUUUGAUAUUUUACAUUGCAUGCACGAAUCAAUUCAAAGUUUUUACUUAUAAGUCGUCUAUAAAAAUAAUUUAUUGAGUAAUUAGUUUCAGCAUUUUUGUGUGUGGUUCGGCUUUUCAAAUAAAGCUUACAUAAGAUAGUUGAUGGAGAUAGCAAGUGCAUUGAACCUACGAAAAUGAGACGCACAAAGGGAAGAGGACGUGCUAAGUGUUAAUGUUAAUUUUUGUGAUGGAUUUGACAUUAAUGUUGUUGCAUGCUUCGAACUUAUAUAUUUUAAGUAAACUAAUCUCAGAUAUAUACUAAGCUAGACGUAACGCCUGCUUACUUGGUCAAUAACGAAAAUAGUAAACCCACGAGCACUUUUAUAGAGAAUAAAAAAAAGAGAAAUUGCAAAGAGAUUUAGGGCCAAACCUUUUUGAAUUGUUUAAAUUAUUCCUAAUUUUAACAACUUUUUAUUUGACUAUAGACGAAUUCGGGACGUAAGCAAGGAAUUGGCCGAGUUUUGCCGCUUUUAGUGACUUGAUUUUCAGUGAGUACUAUAACAGAAUUAGAUUAUAGGAACACAUGUUUGGAACACUUUUGUGUAUGCCAAAACUUUAAAAAAAAUCUAUUAAUGUCUAAAUACUGAACACGGUGUUAUCUCAACCCCUGUAGCUAAAUUCAUUUGCUAAAUAAAUAAAGCGAGUGGCAUGCGAUCUUUUUGUCAAAAAAAAAAAAAAAAAACCCAUCACCUUUGUCCAUAAAACGCUCAUAAUUAAGCAGAAAAAAAAUACUGAAAACGGAAAAUAUUUUAAAUUUUUUAGAAUGUUAUCGUUAUAUAUUAUUAUAUAUUAUUAAUUAAUGCGUCAGUAAUUUUAUAUAAUAUUUUUUUAACUAUGUAUAGUAAUGUAUAAAAAUAAAAAUAAUAAUAUGAGAAACUCGUUACAUAUAUUAUACUCUAUUAAACCGCAACCUCAUGGGUUCGAAAAAUCUCAAUUCAUCUCUCAAAAUAAAAAUAAAAAAAAGUUCAGUUGGCUUGUUGCUUAUUUUCAGUUCGAAUAUUAUCUAGAUUGUGUUAUGCUUGUAAUUAUUCGGGGCUUAUAUUUUUUGAAACUCAAAUUUAAAUUGAAAAAUUGUUUGAUUGUGGGGUCUGUUAGUUUUUUAUUAGAUUUAUAGUAGAAUACUAGUUAAAUUAUAAUAAAUAUUUAAAUUUAUUAGAGCAAAUUAAUUUGAAUUUAGAUAUUAAUUAGAAUAUAAUUUGUAAUUUAUAUUAGGAUUAGGGCAUAUUGCAUCCUAUGCAUUGUAUAAUCAUGGAUGACGGAUUAACUACGUGUGAGUUUAGCCCUUUGAGUGGUGAGAGAAACUUGGUUUUUAAUUUGGCACCUGGUGUACGGGUGCUAGAGCUCGGAUUCAAGUUACUCUUGUAUAUAUAAUUUUUUUUAAUUAAUAAAUUUUAUUUUAUCUGUAUUUUUUAUUCAGUUUUUUUUUUUUUUAUGAUUGUGUCAAUAAUAGUUUCGCCUAAGAAAACGUAUUUCUGGUAAAAAUCAAAUUAACGCUUCCGUUGUAAAAUCCCAACAAUUAGUACCAGAACGAACAGAUAAACAAUAGUCGAUAUCAGAACAGAUUAUGAAUUCUCAAAAUCUGUUAUCAGGACGAGUACAGCAUUCCCAACUGACCCUAUAUAUGGAUAACUUACUAUAAUAAAAAAUAAAUAGCUAAAUUGCACUUCUAGUCCUCAAACUUUAUAAUGCAUGAUAUUUUAGUUUCUUAUUAUAUUUUUUAUCUCAAAUUUUUUAAAUUAUUGUAAUUAAUUUUAUCCUAUAAUCUAAUUUAAUUGACUGAAUAUUGAUAUUUCGCCGGUGUAGUAAUAUGUGGCAUCUUACAAUCUAAUUUAAUUGACAGUGGCAAAAGAUUUGGUUGUUGGUAUCCGAGGUCCCAUGAUCAAAUCCUACUUGAUUCACAUUUUCAGCUAAGUUUAUUUCUAAAUGAAAUAAAAGAAGCGGGUAGCGUGCUAUUUAUCUCUCUAAAAAAAAAAAGUAAUUAGCACGUUAUCAAAUAUAAUACUGUCAUAUCAGUACUAGAUUAACAACACAUCAUUUUUUAAUCAACCAAAUAUAAACAGUAAAAUUUAAUUAUAAUAAUUUAAAUAGUCUGAGAUAAAAAUUAUAAUAAACUAAAAUUUCGGGACCAAAGCAUAGCUUGCUUCAAAGUUUGGAAAAUAAAAAUGUAAUCUAACCUAAAUAGAUAAGCUCAAAAUAUAAUAUUAUAACAUAGACUCGUGUCUAACAUAACUAAUUACCCAAUGCGUUGUUUUAUUUUGGUGCUUUAAUUUCCUACACAACCAUUAUUAUUAUUUUUUUUUCCUUUUUGGUGUUUUUUAUCCAAUUUACUUAAUACGUUUUCCCAAAUUCUAGUUAAUUAAUAAAUUUCACCCUUUUUUGAAGCUUUUUUUUUUGAGAGAUAGAUAGCACACUACCCGCUUCAUUUAUUUCAUUUAGAAAUAAACUUAGCUAGAAAUGUGAAUCAACUAGGAUUCGAACUUAGGUCUCGGGUAUCAGCUACCAAGCUCUUUGCCACUUGCUCUAGGGACGGUCGGUCUUUUUUGAAGCUUUUUAGCAAUGCUAUUUGUAUACCUAAGUGUAGAGAUUACACCUCACUCAUUACUCUUAUUUUUCACUAAUCUUAUUUUUGGUUUAAACUAAAAAACUAUUUGGGUUUAAGUAAUGCUUCAUGAACACUCCUUAAAUUAGGUAUGAAUAUUUAAUCUUACACUCUAUUCAUUCAAAAAUUCAUUCUCCUCUCCAGUCUAAUUACUCUUUCUUUUAUUUA
rnacentral:lncRNA from 1 species